rnacentral:lncRNA from 1 species
UAUUCAAUAAUGUUAUUGGUCCCCCAUGUGCAGAAGGGCGCGCGCGUAUGGAAUAACAAGUAGGGACACUGCAACUAAUCUACUCUGCUCGUCCAGUCCCUAGCCUAUAAAUAGAUGCCAUGCUAGCUCUUGUUGUGCUCACAAUUAAUCCGAUUACACACGAGCUUCUCUCCCUGGCCAAGACACAACCAUAGUAUGAUGAAGAACAUGGCACUAGCCGGCAAUGGUAUGAAGAAGUUAAUCCUCGCUGUUCUCUUACUGUGUCUAGUUAUAGGGCAGAUACAAGUGGAAGCUAAGAGCUGCUGCCCAUCCACCACUGCAAGAAAUGUCUACAAUACCUGCCGUUUCACGGGUACAUCCCGUCCAACGUGUGCAAAACUGUCAGGCUGCAAAAUUAUCAGCGGGAACAAAUGCAAGCCCCCUAACGACCACCUCACCCUUGACCCGGACACUGGUAAAUAAUAAAUUUAUCUCACUUGAUUUCUUCGUGAUUUGAGUCGUUAAUGUAUUUUCCAUCUGAUGAAACGUAUUGGUUUUGCAUUGAAGAGGAAGUUAAUGUGCUUAACUUCUGCAAGUUGGGGUGUGCGUCGUCUGUGUGCAACAACAUCAACGCUGGUAAGCAACUUUUGCUCAGACAGAGAAAACAAUAAUCAUUAAUUAGCGGCAGCUAGAAUCCUAUAAUCUAAUAUAUAUAUAUAUAUAUAAUUUUAUCAGCUCUGGGAAAUGAAGAGGCGAACGAUGCCGUUGAGAGUUGCGACCAAGCCUGCUCUAGCUUCUGCAGCGUGCAUGUUGGCAGCGCCACCGUGGUUGCUUAAGCAAAUGCAUCCAACUAGAUCGUCCUUGUGCUGAAUAAUUGGAUAUCGUAUCCACUUAAAGCUGCCUUGUGUAGUACGUCUUUGUGUCUCUCUUUAUAUUCCAAUAAGGUCGGUGAUCUUGAUGCCACACACUCAGAUGUGUGUUCAUCUCCAGAUACUACUCCAUGCUACCUGCCCUUUGUGUUUUGUUCAAUAACUGGGUAUCAUAUCCCAGCCAGUAUGCCGUCUGUUUUGUGUUUGUUUCCUUCUAGUUCCAAAGGGGUCAUCAUGAUGUUACCUUCUUUCAAUAUGGUGCUUUGCAUGACUACUGUUGUAUGGUACCAUCUUGUGGCCAAUAAGUACAUCUUAUCCUAUGACCUUUGCUAUGACCCUUUGCAAAUAAGUAGAAGAUUGUUAUAAGCGUCAAUACUCCGUAUAAAUUGAUCGCUGCUGUGAGUUCCCUUUCAGCUUAUCGUAGGCAUACAUUAUUGCUAGCACGGUAAAGCCAACCAACACGAAUGAUGAAGUAAACGUAGCGGUACUUCUGUAUACCAACACCCUUACUUAAAUGUACCGGUGUCAUUCCCUACUGGCACAUAUAUUCUUAUAUGCUAGCCAGCUUGUAAAAUUAACCAAUUAAAAUAAUUAUUUCAAGAUAGAAAUAACUUAUCGGUUUCUGGAAGCAUGUGUAAUGUGAAUUCAAGGACUCGACGGAAGUUGAAUCACUUCAUCUAUAUUGCUUUCAGUAUUUUGGGUAACUAAAUUUAACAUUUGCACAUACAAAUGUUAAAGUACAAAUGUUAAAUCUAGUUACCCAAGCAGAAUAUGAAGAUAGUUUAUAGUAUAUAUAUACUAUAUAAAUCUAGUUAACAUUUAGUCUAAAUGUUAAAUCUAGUUACCUAAAAUCCUGAAAGCAAAAUGUAUAAAUAUAUAUCUUUUAAGGCAGUAUAAGCUUCGAUUCCUAUUGCUGCUCUGUUAAAUCUCAUCUUUCGUUGUGGCCCAACACUCUAGUAUGCAUGUUGCACCAAGCUUCUUUGAGCCGCUCUGCCCUCUGAUUUUGCUGCGUAGGGGAAUCUUUAUCAGGUUGGGCUACUUCCAGUUGUGCGAUGUAAAGAUUCGUAUUUUCUAGAAGGUAGACAAAAAACUCGCGUUCUCUUAAGGCAACAACCGGAAGAUUCUGCAGCGCACAGGGCAUACCAUUAUUGUAGAAACGACCUUUAGUACCGAUCUCCAACCCCCUUUAAAACUGGUUUUGCAACCGGUACCGUUAUGUCGGUCCUUUAGUACCAGAUCAAAUAAGUACCGGUUGGUAACCAGUAUCAACUUGUUUUGCGGCCAAAAAAAUAAAGAAAAAAACAGUCAGAAGGCUCGCGCACACGCGCAUCACAUGAAAUAUGCGUGUGCGGGGUCCAUGGGAUUCGAACCCAUGAAAUCAAGCUGCGCGCGACCCUUCGUUACCAUCUCACCUACAUAGCGCAUAUGCUUUCCUGAAGUAACCCGUGGAGGAGGCUUUAGUACCGGGUCAUAACACCACCCGGUACUAAAAAUGACUCUUCAGUACCGGGUCAUAACACCACCCGAUACUAGUAUCGGAUGGUGUAAUGACCCGAUACUAAAAGGCCUCUAGGGACCCUCAAAUUUGAACCCGGUACUAAUGCUAAUAUUAGUAGCGGGUCAAAGUGCAGCCAGAACUAAAGCAUGGGAUGAAAGGUCAUAUUUCUAGUAGUGUAUAGUUGUUGUGAAGGACUGACUUGGCUGUCCUCUCUCUUCUCCAUCCCCUUGGUCUUACGCCGCCGCUCGCACGCGAGCCGGUGCCCAACCAGAGGAGUGAGAGCUAGGGGCAGGUUGGGAGGUGGGGAUAGUGACUGGUGGCCAGGGUGAUGGUUGAUCCUGGUGGGGUUAGGGUUUUAGGGUUUUCGAGCUUCCUAUGGUCGGCGAACCUAGAGGAGGAGCUCAACAUCAGCUGCAACCCGCGAUGGUGGUGGUUUGGCCGGCGCCCGAGGCGAGGCAGCGCGGGAGUGCUGCCGGUGGGUUGGUGUUGGCACUCAUUAUUGACAACUAUUUUGUUCAUAAAAUAACACUCAAACUUGCUGCUGCUGCUGCUGCUGCCAUCGCCACCCUAGCCAUAAUAUAAAGGCAAAAUUUGCUAAAGGACAUGCAAAAUGAUGCUAGUUUGCUGGCGGGCAUCGUUGACCUUGUAAUAUGCUACAAGACACUCUAGUUGUGUAUCAAUUUGCUGAAAGACAUUGCUAUGACUAAAAUAAUGUUUCUGGACUGAGUUGGAGAGAGAGAUGGAGUGAAAUGUCUGUUUUGCCCAUGACCCCACUGGUCAGAUCCUUCUUCUUCCACCCUCCUUUGUUCUUUCUUCAACCAUUACCCAGCUCCAGCGUGUUGCAGAUCUACGAGGGUGGCGGCCUGGGGCGAGGGGCAUCGCUCGCCCUUGGAGGAGCGCUGCGAGCGACGGCGCGGGGGCGGCAACAGCGCGUCAGAACCUGACUGUUCGUUAGCUCCUCUCGCUGCUGGGGAAGGAGGGGGAUGGGCCAUGGACGGGGUUCCCUUGAAAACCUCAGCGUCGAGCUCGGGCGGCUACGCGCAGGCAGCACUAGGCUGCUUCACGGGGAGGGGGCGCGGCCAAUCAUUGGCACCCCACUGGUCCAAUGCUGAUGAAGAUGGUGCCAGCGUCGUGUGAGGACAUCUCAUCUCCUCGAGUUCCAUGGCCAGCACAGGUGAGCUGCCGCUACCACAAAACAGAGGUUUCGUGAGAGUCAAAAAACCUUAUGAAAAUAGCUAAAACCAUCAUGAAAAUAAUCCGUGACAUGACACUCUCACGAAAAUCCUCUCACAAAUAUGGUGCCAUGAAAAUACCAUUUUCAUGAGAGUGAACUGUCAUGAUUUUAUUUCGUGAGAGUAUUUCCUAUCAAUGACCUCCACGAAAUACUUUGUGCCACCAGGUCUUCAAGAUCAUUUUCAUGAGAGCUGAACAUCAGGAAAAGUCCGCCACAAAUGUUUUUCUUGGAGCCCCUAACUCUCAUGAAAAUCAUGCGGGCCGCCACGAAAAACAGCAUGACCAAAUGACAAAUUUCAUUUUCAUGUGUUCAUACCGCCAUGAAAAUGGUCAUUUUCAUGAGAGUUGAUGAAACAAAAAAUAGUGCCAUUUUCAUGAGAGUUCAAGCAACCAGGAAAAGACACUAAUAAACAUCCAGAUCCCAUCCAGCACACAUCCAUGCACAUAUAUAACCCACAUAUUGCUCCAGCACACAUCCAUGCAUAUACAAGAUCCAAAUGUUAAUAUAGUAGACAUCCAUGCCUGAACUAGUCUGCCACACAAGUCAUUGAUGCUACAAAUCCUACAAUCGCAGCAUGUGCAUACAAGUCACAGAAUGAGACAAUGUACCCAAAACUAAAAGGUUAGCAUCAACUGUGCUUCAACCAAAGUUGUCAUCCCAACUCUCCUCUUCAUCCAUGCCAUUCUUGUCGUGGCCGUCACUGUCAGUCCCCAUGGCAUUGCCAAUGCUGUGCAUGUCUUGGUAGGAACCUACAUGUGAUGAACUAGUAACCUGCAAAAAGAGCUCAAAGGAUCUUGUUCUCAUAUUGUAGCUGUGAAAUUCUUACAAGUAGUGUUGCAAUCAGUUCACUUUGAACCAAAAGAGCUCAAAGGAUCUUGUCCUAAAAGUUCCUCAUAAAGCUUAUGGGUUUGCUGGUGGAACUGGAAGGGCUUGAUGCAGCAGAUGCCAUUCUGCAAUAGAGAAAAAUUUAGAGAGCAGUACUAGUUAAAAUUGGAUGCAGAAGAUACACAUGAAACUAGUAUUUAUACAAGUCUAUACAAUUAAAAUCUAAGGAGACUUAUCAUCGUUUUCAUGUGUUGUGAAUUAAAAUAAUGAAGGAUACACUGUUAGGUGAAAAUUCAAGAAACAAAAUUUUGCAUAGAGAUAAAGGUCCAACAUUAUUACAAGUUAAGGUAGUUUUAAAUAUCCUUGUAAUCUUCCUUUGGUUUCCUCAACGAUUCGAAGACAAUAACCUUGCUUCUAUCAAUGAUAAUUAUAAGGAGAAUCCAGUGGAAACUGUGUAUUCGUAUUAGAACUACCUAAGGUUAAUUAGGUUAGGAAAGGAAAUUGAAAAUAGAUGGUACCCACACUUACUUAAAGUUGUCGGGCAAUAGUAUGUAAUGCUUGUAAUUCCGUUGCUCCAAGAAUUUGUAUAUGUGGUCCAAUGUAGACUUUGGUUGAUCCCGUAUCUGCUGUUGGUUAAAUAAGUGUUUCUAGCCAUUUCUAGCCAUUAGAACCGGGACUAAAGGGGGCUCUUUAGUACGGGUUGAUAUUACUAACCGGGAUUAAAGAGCCCCCAUUAGAGUUGGUUUUUGGAUGCGGAACUAACAACUCCUUUAGUCCUGAGUACGAAAACAACUGACAUAUUUGUUGCUGGAUGGAAGGUCCUUUCUCUACCGUGAAUAUUGCCAGAAAGAAUUGAAAGAGACUGCUUGCUAAAAAUAUGUCAUAGAUGUAGACCAAGCUACCAAGGAGGUAGACCAAACAUGAUACACACCAUGCGUACCUUGCUGUGCAGACUAUGCAUUGACAAGAUACCCGACCACAUGUUGGCCUCGGUCACAUCAAAAGAAUCAUGUAGGCCACCAAUAAACUACUUGAAGCGGCAUUCCGUAUCGUAUAUGCAUUGCCGGUUCAUCUGCAUUACAUUACAUAAAGCACUAUUAACUAUUUGAAUAAAAUGAACCAAUUUAAAAGUAAUGUGUUGUACUCUACUAUAGAAAGCCCUAUCACUGCCGGAUCCAAAAACAUCAUUGUUAAUGGUGGUUAAGUACCAAAUAUGACGGUCAAUAUUCUCAAGAAUAAUGGAGAAUUAGCAUUUCUUAGACACAUAUUUGGUUUUGAACAAUGUAGUUCCACAUGUCUUUGGAGAUUAUUUGGGUGUGGGUGAAAUAAUACAAAAAUAAGGAGAAAACACACUCCCAUGGCGAAGAAACACAACUCCAACCAAUGAGAGAUAGCCACAGGGGCAGCACACGGAUCCAUGGGCCCACUAACCGCAUCAAACCAUCUUACCAAGGCAGGUAGCACCCACAACCGUCAUUAGGACCCACCUGGAAGUCUACCAAGAAGAAGGUUGCGAGUGGGGCCAGGAGGGGUUCGGUUGAAUCAUCUCUAGCUAGCUCCCCUCAUCCCCAGCUGGUGGGUGGUGGUGGUUGAUGGUGUCCCUACAUCAGUUAGAGGAGAUUCCCCCAAAUAUUCCUCCUGUAAACCACCUCUAUGGACCUAUACAUAGAGGGGUGUGCUCUCCAUUCCAACACACACCACAAGUUGAAUCACUCUCUCCCUCUUUAGUUUCCAAGUUUAUGGAGUUAGGCUAGAGUAGCUCUGCUCAAGGUUCCAAGUCCACUUGGAGUUAAGCAUAUGUCUCUUGUAUCGUUAUUUCCUAAAUUGACUUUAUGCUUAGUUCUUAUAUGCAUGAGUUAGUCUAAUACCCUUGCUAUAUUGAUAUGCUCGGCUUAUAUGCUCGUAUGCUAGUCAUAUACCCUUGCUGUCGUAGUAUAGGCUUAUAUGCUCUCAUGUGUGCCUGUAGACCUUGCUAUAGUAUAUACUUGUUGUGCAUACAUACCAUGUAUAGGCUAGUCGAUCUAUACCAUGGCAUUGGUUCAAUAGCCAUGUUUUUGGUGGCUCCAACCCUAGUCACAAUAGCUCGGGACAGCUGGAGUGUUGUUAAAAAUGCAAGAGUGGUGCUUGGGUUGUUUAGCAUCGUUGGAUAUGGGUUUGCCCCACGGGUUUCUAACGGUAGGCGGCAGCUAGUGACAUCCCUGUCCGUCCUUCGUAAUCCCCCCACAUUCAGGUACGCCAUAAAUGUUCGUAAAUUAGCAGUAACUACGCCGGUACACCUGUAGGGUAUUGUCUCCCUGUAGUACCUUGGUGCAUAGAACUAAGUCCUAUACACUGUGUGUGUAUGUUUACGCUGAUAUGAUCUGUGCAGUAUAUAGGAUGUAUAUAUGAACCUAGAGCUAACUCCUAGUCCGUUCUCCAUAGCUUAGUUAUCUUGAGAUGAUUCUUCUGUAUGUGUAACACUACCCAUCUUAUCAUUAUCCUUGAUCCUGUCUUGUGUAAUAUAUCUACUCAUCCUAUGAUAUACUCAUAUGCAUAGUAAACUAUUUUGACCUACCCGCCUUCCUUUGGGAAAUAUGAUACCUUGGAAUAAUCCUAGGUGAAAUCCUACAACGGUAUAUCCAUGUAAAUGCGGAUUUAUUCAUGACCAUUAAAUAUACCAACAAUCAUCACUGUGAGUUUUGGGCGUCGUUAGUGAAGGGUUGGUAGUGAUGGGCAUCCCCUUCACCAAUGGACCUGGAACCGGCGGUGAUGGCUAUUAUAAAAAAGGGGACACCACCCAGCGUACCCCACGACCCGGCCGGCCGCACCUCCCAUCAUCCCCGCCAGCCGCCCUUCCUUUUCGCCGGCCGAGCAUGGUCCCGGCCUUUGUCCCUACCACCUCGCCUCCACCGCGACCCCCCGCCGAUGCCCUCGUGCCUGGCCCCCCUCAUCUUGCCGGCCACCCUCCCGAUGCGUCCACUGGGGCCCUCGCACCACCAACCGCCCUUGCUUAGAGAGGGAGAGAGAGGAGGGAGGUGAGGCCACGCACCUCGUCCUACACCGCCGCUGUUUCUCCUCGGCCCACCGCGCCUCACCCCACACCACAGCCGCGCCUUGCCAUCUUACCGGCUGUGACGCCUCAUCUCACCGGCCACCGUUCCUCACCCCCACUUCGGUCGUCGCCGCUCCUUGCCCUACCGCUGCUCUUUGCCGCUGCGAAUGAGCGCCGAGUGGAGGAGGAGGGAUGGGGCAGGAGGAGGGCAAGAUCCGGGAGGAAGGGAGAGAUCUCGGGAGGUGGAGAUGGAAGGAUAUGGCGGAAGGGAGAGAUCCAGAGGGAGAGAGCAGGGGAGAGAGGGGGGCGUGUGGGGAGAGAGCGCGUGUGGGGUGGGGCCGGGCUGGUGGGAUGGAAGGGAGAGGGGCUAGACGGGCGCAGUGCAUUCAACUGGAUGAAGUAAAUAUUUUGGAUUCGAGACCCCAGCUUUAUUAUCACCGCUGGUCCGUAGUACCAUCCGGUGCCUGCUCGUAAUUUAAUUUGAAUCUGCGGUGAUGUUUUAUUAUCACCAUCGGAUCAUAUAAAAAUCCGGCGGUUAAAAAUCCGCUGGUUUCGAUGAAAACCGACGGUGAUAGGAUGACUGUGAUAGUCUCUUCUCUAGUAGUGGUAUAUUAGUACCGGCUGCCGGAUGGUGUUGCCGACCAGUACUUCUCCGGGGGCGAUUCAGUACUGCUGUUAGCAAAGCUUGUUCUCUAUGAAUUUGGGGAUGGAAAGCUAGUUCUCUAGUUGUGAUUUGUUACAUAUAUAUCUAUGAUAGUCUAGAAAUUGCAUGUCCUUCGUUGACAUAGUUGAAGCUGCUUCAAGAAUUUACUUCGUGCAGUCGUGCAGCAUAUUGGAUUAUCACCUAGACAGGAUACAUAGGUGAAGCAUUGGAUGUGAUUGUGGCCGAUAAUUAUGCAGGACGCUGUUGCAAUCAACCACCAAGAAGUCUGGAGUGAUGGGGUUGCCUCAUCAAUAAUUUUUAUAUAUGGCUGCAGUAUUAUUAAGCCCACGUCAAUAAUUUUUUGUCCGCACCAUAUAUCGAUGGGGUUGCCUCAUCAAUAAUUCGCGCAACCAGACAAGCUGCAGACUCAAUAUGGUACGAAGCUAGUUGCUCAGCCCACAUGCUCUGAUAUAACAUUGACAUCUGCUGAUCUACAGUAUAUAUGACCAGAAAUAUUGUGCCCACCUCAAUAACUUUCUGAAGUAUCGUGGGGAAGAACCUACGCGUACUAUGCCUCGGAACUAACUGACAUAUCGGCCCAGGCGGUCUAGGCCGAUUGGACUGGCUCUUCCUUGUGGCUUCUCACAUCCCCUUCGUCCCCAAGUAAUUUCAGGUGUUCUGUAGUUUUCUUUUCACUUGCAUCUGAGCCUCCUAUAUCAAUAGCUUCGGGAUAAGAAUGCCUCUUGAUAACCUUCCAAAUCCUCGCUUGAUUCACAUUGAUUCCGAAAUCAUCUUGCCAUAUCUUCAGAGACUUAGGUCCUAAGGCAUCAUGGAGGAUUGCUCGCCAAGAAUGAGCACCAUUGGGCUCCUGAGGACCCUAGGCCGAUCAGCCCGGGCUCUAUAGGUCGAUUGGCCCAGGCCCUCUCUGGGCCUGUUGGCCUUCAUCUUUCUUUGAGUCGACGCUUAUUCAGGGCUUUGUCCAAUUAUAGUCCAUUAUAGUCUAAUUUCCUAAAAAACAGAAUGUCCUCCAAAAUACAAUGCAUAUGUGAAAACAACCCAAUUAUUAGGUAUGAUCAAUAGUUUAGGUAUUAAAUUAAUAUUAUUAUUUAAGAUAAACAGGGGUAAAGGGUGUCAUUAAUAACAAGCGCCAACAAGCGUCCUAGCUGUUCAAUAAAUUUUUUCUAGUACCGAUUGGUAACACUAACCGGUGCUAAUAUGUACCCUUUAUUACCGGUUAUUUUACCAGGUACUAAAGGAGACAAGAGCAUCCUAACAUAAGGUUAAUAUCAUCCAUUUCAUGAGUAAAAUACUAUGAUUCAAAAAUAAUUCAAAUCCCUUAAGACAAUACCUAUCAAAUGAGUAAAUUGUAAAUAGAGUAAUCUUGAUCAAACAAUGUCCUAAUGAAACGGAACACUUCUGGUUCGUGUAGAGCACAAUAUAGAAAACAGUAGGGUAGCUGUAUGAUUGACACGUGGUCCAUUAAUUAUUGAGCCAACACUAUGGACAUGUCUUCAUGAGUAGUGUACUAGUCAUAAUACAUGGUAUGCAGUAGGUGGAGGUAUUGACUUAGCCAUGCUAUGAGCACUUAGUUACAACAAACACUUUGCCAUUAUCGAGCAUCCCAAAUCACUACAAAAUCCAUAGUUUACCAUAUACUACAAAAUCUGAGUUAAAAUAAGAGCAUACACGGAAGAGUCCGAAUGCACGGCACAUUGAAUUACUAGACAAAAUUUAUGGGACAAGGUUUUGGGUAACCGCAUGAAAAAUAUUGGAUUUUACUGAACACUUAGUUACAAUUACCAUGCCCGUGAGCACUUAGUCACCACAAACAUUUAACCACUUUAGAUCAUCCUGAAUCCCUAUAAAUUCUAUACCUUACACCGUACCAUGAAAACGACAAGAACAGAGACAGAUGCGGUGAAAAUCUCCAGAGCAAGCCUGAAAUUAAAAUAAGAGGAGGCAGUCACUAUCGACAGGACACGGAGAUUGCUAGCCAUGACAGAGGAAGACAUGAUAUGAUAUUCACCUCUGAAAUGCAGCGUAGACUAAAUGAAGCACAAUUGCAAGUGAGUGUGGCAGAUAAUGGACCAUCGAGACCAUCGAAUGGUAUGAAGCAUGAUUAUCACCUAGACAUGAUAUCCUAGACAGGACGGUGAAUUGUAAAAAGAGUAAUCUUGAUCAAAGAAUGUCCUAAUGAAACGGAACAUUUUUGGUACGUGUAGAGCAAAAUAUAGAAAACAGUAGAGUAGUUGUACGAUUGAAACUGCAUCCAUCGACGUGGUGCAUGAAUUGUUGAGCCAACACUGUGGACAUGUCUUCAUGAACACCAUCUAGUGAGGACAGCAUGCAGAAAAAUAUAAAAACAUGUCAUAGGGAGGCAGACCAAUCUUGCGAGGUAGACGAAACGUGAUACACGAUCUGCCUACCUUGUCGUGUGGAUACCCCAAGUGAAGAUGUCAUAGAGGUGCAGACCAAGCUAGCAAGGAGGUAGAUGAAACGUGAUACACGGCCUGCCUACCUUGCCGUGGAUAUUAGUCCUGAUAUCAUUCUAUUGUUCAAGGAAUAACACUCAAUGCUGCUGCUGCUGCUGACCUGGCUCCAUAAAGUUAUAUUCCUCUAGCCGCUUGCACUAACUUUAUCUGAAGUAUUAUUCUCUCUGCACUGUAUAUAUGGUUACGGAGUUUGCUGGAGUAUCCGGGGGGAAGAACCUACAUAAUAUGUCUUGGAACUAACUGACAUUGAUUCACAGACAAGGUGCUGUUGUUGACAUGGUACAGUAAAUAAUAUAGUUUACCAUAUACCGUAUACCAUUAUAUGUUAGCUAAAAUAAGAGCAUAACAUGUCGCAGGAGUCCAAAAGCACCGGUUGAGGACCAGGUACAUUAAAUUACUAGAAAACAAAAGGGGACAAGGUUUAGGUAGCCACAUGAAAAACAUUUGAAUUUACUGUACCAUGAACACUUAGUUACCAUGCCGGGAGCACCUAGUUAACACUAACAUUUAGCCACUUUAGAUCAUCCCGAAACACCAAUGACCCUCAAUAGCGACAAAUUUUGGUUUAAAUGCCGUCACCAAUGAUCCUCAAUAGUGACGUGUUUAGGUUUAAAUCCCAUCACUAAUAACCCUUGGUAGUGACGUGUUUUGGUUUAAAUCUCAUCACCACUGAUCCUCACUAGUGACGUGUUUUUAGCAACACACGUUAUGAAUGACUUGUCAUUGGUGACAUGUUAAACGCGUUAUCUCAAUGGCAAAUCAAUGGUGACGUGUUUAAAAAAACAUGUCACUGUGAGAGUUAUUGGUGAAGGGUAAUUAAAAUGCAUCACUAAUUUUGUAGCAUUAGUUAUGAUAUAAUUUUGUAACGCAAAAAUCUACCAUAGUAAUGAGGUUUAGAGCCAUCACUAAUGUGGGUUUCUUAUCGUAGUGAUGCAAGCUCUACAAGGUGCUGUUGUUGCCAUUUUAAAGCAUCCCAAAUGACUACAAGAGUCCGGUUGAGGACUAAACAAAUUGAAUUACUAGAACCAAAUGUAUGUCCAGAACAAAGAAAGGGGUCAAGGUUUGGGUAACCGCAUUAAAAACAUUGAAUUUUACUGUACCAUGAACACUUAGUUACCAUUACCAUGCCUUGAGCACCUAGUUACCACAAACAUUAAUUUAGCCACUUUAGAGGUUCCACAAUCACUAUAAAUAAUAUACCAACACCGUACCAUGAAAACAUCAAGAAGAGAGACGGGUACAUGGACCACCAUCAAGUGAGUAGUGACAGCACGCACAAGAAUACCCGGAACCUUUUAGCUUGUCUGUAGUGAUCUGUUUUCUUCGCCACAAAUAAUGAAAGAGGCUGACCAAGCUAGCAACGAGGUAGAGCAAACGUGAUACACGUAGGUUUCAUUCAAGACAUCCAUGUAAGAUUCAUUCAAAACAUUCAUGGAAAUUUCUUGUAAGUUUUCAUGUAAAUUUCAUUCAAGACAUUUGUUAGAGGUGUUGUAUAUACACUUAACGUACAUAUAUCUAUGAUUUCAUGGUUGUUAGUGAUGGCAGAUGAGGAGCAUGCAAGGUGUUUAAUGGAGCAGAUUAUUGCUAGUGGUAGUGGCUCCAACCUGCCCGUAACGUACACCGACGAAGAGGGCAGCCAGGCGGACAUGUUCCUCAACAUGUCCGGUGAUGGCAAUGAAGAGCCCGAGCAAAACCUUGCCGUGACGGAAGGUUCCAUCGAGGUAUAUAUCAUUUCCAUUAUUUUACCCCAUCUAUAAUUUCAUAUUCAUUAUUACUAUGUGCUAAUUAAUGAAUCUUGAACCGUUAGUCCUCUAGAUCAACGAACCGAAAUAAGCCCCGAGGUCUUACAAAGAUAAUGCAGGGAAGGCUUCACAUCAUGGAAGUCACAGAAGAGGGCACAUCGGUUGCUCCCGAACAUGUGGCAAGAAAGUACGUGAGUCAAACCGGGGCAAUCGUAAGGGACAACAUGCCCAUCAGCAUCAGGGAAUGAAAGAGCAAUAGAAAUGAUCUAUACGCACCCCCGGAUACACAAAAGGAUAUGUUGUGGGCAAAUAUCAAGAAACACUUCACAUUUCCCAAAGGAUAUGUUGAAAAAUAUGUGAAAGCGUGGAUGUUGAAGAAGAUGGCCACCCAAUUCCAGACAUUCAAGAAGAUGUUGGAUGCCAACUUCAUCAAGAAGGGUCGAACUCCGGGUUUCAAUGAGUGGCCAAAGUUAAGGGACCACUGGGAGUCGUUUGUCGAAUACAAGACGAGCGAAGGUGGUGCGAGUAAGGUUCACAUCAAUGUUGCCAAUGCUAGCAAGGAGUACCAUCAUCAUCUAGGGCGACGUGGUUACAGCUCUGCAAUUCCCAGAUGGCGCAAGAUGGAACAAGACCUGAUCGAUCGGGGUAUCGUACCAGCAACUCUUGACUGGAUCGAUUGAAAAAUUGGUAUUAUGCUCAUGAAGGCAAUCUGAGCCAAGAGGAUCCGACAUUGGUCUUCAAUAAAACAAUACGUCAGAAGGUCGGAAGGCUUAUUAGGAACAUUGAAGAUGCUAAAGCUGGGAGGUUCAAGGUGGAUAGAGAGAAUGAUGAACUCACAUUGGCCCUCGGGACUGUCAUCUCUAGCACUUCCAGCUCCAGGACUAUCGUCACCACCGGGACCGUCGCUUCCUGCUCGAUCACAGUCUCCAUCUCCAGCACAUCCUGGUGGUGCGAGCGACGACGACAACAACACCCCUCCCUGCCCACCAUUGCCGGGACUAAGACCCGCAUUGAGUAAGGAACCUGCAACACCACUGAAGAAGUCGCGACCACCACCUUCAAGGCAAGUCAGCAAAAGAAGAAAGCAGAGAAGCCUAAACCCACUGAGAAGCCAGCGACUGAUAUGACCGAUGCGGAAAGAUGGAAGGCACUCAAAGAAGAAUGCAGGGAGUGGUUCAGCGAAGGCGAAGGUGAGAAAGUCGUAUGAAUCGAAUUCAAGGAUAUAUAUGAAGUGAACCAUCAGGAUGCCCUUGAUGUCUCUCUCAUCAGCGCCUAGGUUCUGUAAGUGUAUGUUUAUCUAUAAGUAAAUUUUGGCUCAUAUCAUUAUUUUUUUUGCGUGCGUCACCCUACUAACUUCGUCUUCCAUUUUAUGUAGGAUGCUAAUUCAGACGUGCCGCAUAGAAGCGUACUUCCAUGUUGGAUUCAUGGAUCCAUCCCUAGUUAACCAAAAGCCGAUACGGAAGUAGCUAGAGAAAACGUUGGAGGUGGUGUACAACCUCCUGGACAAACUAAACUACAGAAUAGGGGCAAUAUGUGAGGGUCUUGUAGGAUUCCUAGUGGACGAGGUGAUAAAUCCAUAAGGAGAAUAUCAUUCCAACGGACGAGCAUUAGACACACUGAGCAACACCUAGAUGGGAGGAUCCUAGGAAUGACCUCGACAGAUUUUGGUAUAAAUAGUAAUUGUGUAAAUACUAGUUUGAUUUGUAUAGGAAUAUACUAAGAAUUGUAUAUAUAGUAAUUGUACAAAUACUAGUUUGAUUUGUAUGAAUACUAGAUUGAUUUUAUUAUAAAAAAGUUUUAAGUCGUACGUGCAUGCGCCUACAAAGGCGCGGAUGCCUUUUAAUCCCAGUCGGAAAAACAAACUGGUACUAAAGGGGCUCGUGCCGCACCUGGCAUGACCACCCCUUUAGUCCCGGUUGAACGACCCAGGACUAAAGAUCUCCGCGUCUCAAAAAUUUUAUCUCGGAUGCUUUUUAGAGAGAUUUGAGGCCUAUCAACCAAGACUAAUAUCGAGUUUUCUACCAGUGAAACUAACUAACGUUCACAUGGUUUUGACAUUCACCUGCCAUUUGGUGUAGACAAGGGCACCCUAACAUAUGGUUAAUAUUAUUCUUGAAAGAAAAUCCUUUGAUUCAAAAUACUUCAAACCUAAUAAUACAAUACUUCUCACAUCUGAAAAAUAUGAGACGGCCCGACAGUAUUCUAAUCGACGCAAUAAUAUUUUGAGGGCAGCACUACUACAGCGACCCUCAUUCGUGCCGGUGCUGGGACUCCUAUCACGACCCUGAUACAAAUGAGGGUACAUUAUUGGUGCCAGUGCUAGAACAGCCACGAAUAACUUGCUAAACGUGCUGUUACACUCACUACAGGGACCAAGAAGGUAGAUAAAUUACACGACAUAGCCUUGGUUGCCGUGGAAGCGCCAAGAAGGGAGACAAAUUACAGGGACCACACCAUCAAGUAGAUAGUGACAAUAUGCAAAAGAAUACCCGCGCCUGUUAGCAUGUGAACUGACCACACCACGAAACGUGAUACACGGCAAGCGUACCAAGGCCUUGCUGUGCAGACUAUGCAUGGACAACACAUGGUACCUGACCGCUUUUGGCCUCAGACACAUCGAAAAACUGCAUCGUUCCACGUUGUACAUCCAUUGCUAGUUUAUCUAUAUUACAUAAUAUAUUAUUAGCUAUUUGAAUAGAAUGAACCAAUUAAAAAAUUGCGUUGUAUUUUUAGUACCGGCUGCAGGAUGGUGUUACCAACCAGUACUAAUUGGCCUGUAGGAGUGAUGGUUAUUAGACUUGGUACUGUUGUUAGCAUCAUUAACCUAAUUGUGCGCCGUAUGAAUUUGGGGAUGCAAAGCUAGCUCUCUAUGAAUGUGAGGGAUGGAAAGCUAGUUCUCUAGUAGUAAUUAUAUAUAUGACAGUCAAGAAAUCGAACACUAUGCUGCUACGAGUCACCAUCAUUUCCUUCAUUGACAAUCUGACAUAGGUGAAGCUGCUUCAAUAAUUUCCUUCGCGCAGUCGUGGAGCUUAUUGGAUUAUCACCAGGACGGGACACGGAAAUGGCCAGCAAUGAAGCUGAUUGCCGUCUGAGGAAGACUACAUACUUACCUAUGAAAUGAAGCGAUUGCAUAGACUAAUGAAGCAUUGCAUAUUUGCAUGUGAGUGUGGCAGAUAAUUCUGCAGGACAUGAUUGCAAUCCACGCACCAUCGAGAAGACUGGGGCGAUGGGGUUGCCUCAUCAAUAAUCACGUGGAUGCAUGCAUGCAUGUUCCCGCAACCGGACAAGGGUCUGAUAUAUGGCUAUAGUAUUACUGAGCCCACAUCAAUAAUUUCCACUGGUGUAUCGUGUGGGAAGAAUCAACAUACUACACCUCGAGUUCUUGGAACUAACUGACGUUCACAUGCAACCUCCACAAGGUGCUGUAUGCUUUUGACAUUCACCUGCCAGUUCGUGUAGAGAAGGACACCCUAACGUAUAGUUAAUAUUAUCCAUUUCAUGAGUAAAAUACUGUGAUUCAAAAAUACUUCAAAUCCCUUGAGACAAUACUUCUCACUUGACUAACCACUAACCAACCCCGAAACCCUAACUCAACUCCGAACCCUAACCCCUAACGGCAUAACCACUCCGUUUUGCCGGCGAGAUGGAGGAACUGGCUGGAAGGUAGAGAGGGCAGCGGUCCAGGGUUGAAAACGACGGGCGAGCGCAGUAACAUGUGGAGGAGGAAGUGCCACGUAUUCGUUCACCGCUAUUGGGCAGCGACACACGACACGCCCAAUAAGAUCUUCGCACGGUAGAAGGACGUCAUGUAUUCAAUAAUGUUAUUGGUCCCCCAUGUGCAGAAGGGCGCGCGCGUAUGGAAUAACAAGUAGGGACACUGCAACUAAUCUACUCUGCUCGUCCAGUCCCUAGCCUAUAAAUAGAUGCCAUGCUAGCUCUUGUUGUGCUCACAAUUAAUCCGAUUACACACGAGCUUCUCUCCCUGGCCAAGACACAACCAUAGUAUGAUGAAGAACAUGGCACUAGCCGGCAAUGGUAUGAAGAAGUUAAUCCUCGCUGUUCUCUUACUGUGUCUAGUUAUAGGGCAGAUACAAGUGGAAGCUAAGAGCUGCUGCCCAUCCACCACUGCAAGAAAUGUCUACAAUACCUGCCGUUUCACGGGUACAUCCCGUCCAACGUGUGCAAAACUGUCAGGCUGCAAAAUUAUCAGCGGGAACAAAUGCAAGCCCCCUAACGACCACCUCACCCUUGACCCGGACACUGGUAAAUAAUAAAUUUAUCUCACUUGAUUUCUUCGUGAUUUGAGUCGUUAAUGUAUUUUCCAUCUGAUGAAACGUAUUGGUUUUGCAUUGAAGAGGAAGUUAAUGUGCUUAACUUCUGCAAGUUGGGGUGUGCGUCGUCUGUGUGCAACAACAUCAACGCUGGUAAGCAACUUUUGCUCAGACAGAGAAAACAAUAAUCAUUAAUUAGCGGCAGCUAGAAUCCUAUAAUCUAAUAUAUAUAUAUAUAUAUAAUUUUAUCAGCUCUGGGAAAUGAAGAGGCGAACGAUGCCGUUGAGAGUUGCGACCAAGCCUGCUCUAGCUUCUGCAGCGUGCAUGUUGGCAGCGCCACCGUGGUUGCUUAAGCAAAUGCAUCCAACUAGAUCGUCCUUGUGCUGAAUAAUUGGAUAUCGUAUCCACUUAAAGCUGCCUUGUGUAGUACGUCUUUGUGUCUCUCUUUAUAUUCCAAUAAGGUCGGUGAUCUUGAUGCCACACACUCAGAUGUGUGUUCAUCUCCAGAUACUACUCCAUGCUACCUGCCCUUUGUGUUUUGUUCAAUAACUGGGUAUCAUAUCCCAGCCAGUAUGCCGUCUGUUUUGUGUUUGUUUCCUUCUAGUUCCAAAGGGGUCAUCAUGAUGUUACCUUCUUUCAAUAUGGUGCUUUGCAUGACUACUGUUGUAUGGUACCAUCUUGUGGCCAAUAAGUACAUCUUAUCCUAUGACCUUUGCUAUGACCCUUUGCAAAUAAGUAGAAGAUUGUUAUAAGCGUCAAUACUCCGUAUAAAUUGAUCGCUGCUGUGAGUUCCCUUUCAGCUUAUCGUAGGCAUACAUUAUUGCUAGCACGGUAAAGCCAACCAACACGAAUGAUGAAGUAAACGUAGCGGUACUUCUGUAUACCAACACCCUUACUUAAAUGUACCGGUGUCAUUCCCUACUGGCACAUAUAUUCUUAUAUGCUAGCCAGCUUGUAAAAUUAACCAAUUAAAAUAAUUAUUUCAAGAUAGAAAUAACUUAUCGGUUUCUGGAAGCAUGUGUAAUGUGAAUUCAAGGACUCGACGGAAGUUGAAUCACUUCAUCUAUAUUGCUUUCAGUAUUUUGGGUAACUAAAUUUAACAUUUGCACAUACAAAUGUUAAAGUACAAAUGUUAAAUCUAGUUACCCAAGCAGAAUAUGAAGAUAGUUUAUAGUAUAUAUAUACUAUAUAAAUCUAGUUAACAUUUAGUCUAAAUGUUAAAUCUAGUUACCUAAAAUCCUGAAAGCAAAAUGUAUAAAUAUAUAUCUUUUAAGGCAGUAUAAGCUUCGAUUCCUAUUGCUGCUCUGUUAAAUCUCAUCUUUCGUUGUGGCCCAACACUCUAGUAUGCAUGUUGCACCAAGCUUCUUUGAGCCGCUCUGCCCUCUGAUUUUGCUGCGUAGGGGAAUCUUUAUCAGGUUGGGCUACUUCCAGUUGUGCGAUGUAAAGAUUCGUAUUUUCUAGAAGGUAGACAAAAAACUCGCGUUCUCUUAAGGCAACAACCGGAAGAUUCUGCAGCGCACAGGGCAUACCAUUAUUGUAGAAACGACCUUUAGUACCGAUCUCCAACCCCCUUUAAAACUGGUUUUGCAACCGGUACCGUUAUGUCGGUCCUUUAGUACCAGAUCAAAUAAGUACCGGUUGGUAACCAGUAUCAACUUGUUUUGCGGCCAAAAAAAUAAAGAAAAAAACAGUCAGAAGGCUCGCACACACGCGCAUCACAUGAAAUAUGCGUGUGCGGGGUCCAUGGGAUUCGAACCCAUGAAAUCAAGCUGCACGCGACCCUUCGUUACCAUCUCACCUACAUAGCGCAUAUGCUUUCCUGAAGUAACCCGUGGAGGAGGCUUUAGUACCGGGUCAUAACACCACCCGGUACUAAAAAUGACUCUUCAGUACCGGGUCAUAACACCACCUGAUACUAGUAUCGGAUGGUGUAAUGACCCGAUACUAAAAGGCCUCUAGGGACCCUCAAAUUUGAACCCGGUACUAAUGCUAAUAUUAGUAGCGGGUCAAAGUGCAGCCAGAACUAAAGCAUGGGAUGAAAGGUCAUAUUUCUAGUAGUGUAUAGUUGUUGUGAAGGACUGACUUGGCUGUCCUCUCUCUUCUCCAUCCCCUUGGUCUUACGCCGCCGCUCGCACGCGAGCCGGUGCCCAACCAGAGGAGUGAGAGCUAGGGGCAGGUUGGGAGGUGGGGAUAGUGACUGGUGGCCAGGGUGAUGGUUGAUCCUGGUGGGGUUAGGGUUUCAGGGUUUUCGAGCUUCCUAUGGUCGGCGAACCUAGAGGAGAAGCUCAACAUCAGCUGCAACCCGCGAUGGUGGUGGUUUGGCCGGCGCCCGAGGCGAGGCAGCGCGGGAGUGCUGCCGGUGGGUUGGUGUUGGCACUCAUUAUUGACAACUAUUUUGUUCAUAAAAUAACACUCAAACUUGCUGCUGCUGCUGCUGCCAUCGCCACCCUAGCCAUAAUAUAAAGGCAAAAUUUGCUAAAGGACAUGCAAAAUGAUGCUAGUUUGCUGGCGGGCAUCGUUGACCUUGUAAUAUGCUACAAGACACUCUAGUUGUGUAUCAAUUUGCUGAAAGACAUUGCUAUGACUAAAAUAAUGUUUCUGGACUGAGUUGGAGAGAGAGAUGGAGUGAAAUGUCUGUUUUGCCCAUGACCCCACUGGUCAGAUCCUUCUUCUUCCACCCUCCUUUGUUCUUUCUUCAACCAUUACCCAGCUCCAGCGUGUUGCAGAUCUACGAGGGUGGCGGCCUGGGGCGAGGGGCAUCGCUCGCCCUUGGAGGAGCGCUGCGAGCGACGGCGCGGGGGCGGCAACAGCGCGUCAGAACCUGACUGUUCGUUAGCUCCUCUCGCUGCUGGGGAAGAAGGAGGGGGAUGGGCCAUGGACGGGGUUCCCUUGAAAACCUCAGCGUCGAGCUCGGGCGGCUACGCGCAGGCAGCACUAGGCUGCUUCACGGGGAGGGGGCGCGGCCAAUCAUUGGCACCCCACUGGUCCAAUGCUGAUGAAGAUGGUGCCAGCGUCGUGUGAGGACAUCUCAUCUCCUCGAGUUCCAUGGCCAGCACAGGUGAGCUGCCGCUACCACAAAACAGAGGUUUCGUGAGAGUCAAAAAACCUUAUGAAAAUAGCUAAAACCAUCAUGAAAAUAAUCCGUGACAUGACACUCUCACGAAAAUCCUCUCACAAAUAUGGUGCCAUGAAAAUACCAUUUUCAUGAGAGUGAACUGUCAUGAUUUUAUAAGCGUCAAUACUCGGUAUAAAUUGACUACUGCUGUGAGUUCCCUUUCAGCUUAUCGUAGGCAUACAUUAUUGCUAGCACGGUAAAGAGAACCAACACGAAUGAUGAAGUAAACGUAGCGGAACUUUUGUAUACCAACACCCUUACGUACCGGUGUCAUUCCCCACUGCCACAUAUAUUCUUAUAUGCUAACCAGCUUUGAAAAUUAAGCGAUUAAAAUAAUUAUUUCAAGAUAGAAAUAACUUAUCGGCUUCUCGAAGCUUGUGUAAUGUGAAUUCAAGGACUCGAUGGAAGUUGAAUCGCUUCAUCUAGAUUGCUUUCAGGAUUUUGGGUAACUAAAUUUAACAUUUGCACACACAAAUGUUAAUGUACAAAUGUUAAAUCUAGUUACCCAAGCAGAAUAUGAAGAUACUCUAUAGUAUAUAUGUACUAUAUAAAUCUAGUAAACAUUUAGUCUAAAUGUUAAAUCUAGUUACCUAAAAUCCUAAAAGCAAAAUGUAUAAAUAUAUAUCUUUUAAGGCAGUAUAAGCUUCAAUUCUCUGUUAAAUCUCAUCUUUCGUUGUGGCCCAACACUCUAGUAUGCAUGUUGCACCAAGCUUCUUUGAGCCGCUCUGCCCUCUGAUUUUGCUGCGUAGGGGAAUCUUUAUCAGGUUGGGCUACUUCCAGUUGUGCGAUGUAAAGCUUCGUAUCUUUUAGAAGGUAGACAAAAUACCCGCGUUCUGGAAGAUUCUGCAACGUGCACGUUGGCGCUGCCACCGUGGUUGCUUAAGCAAAUGCAUCCAACUGAAUCGUCCUUAAGCUGAAUAAUUGGAUAUGGUAUCCACUGCUUAAAGCUGCCAUGUUUAGUACGUCUUUGUUUUUCUCUCUUUAUAUUCCAAUAAGGUCGGUGAUCUUGAUGCCACACACUCAGAUGUGUGUUUAUCUCCAGAUACUACUCCAUGCUACCUACCCUUUGUGUUUUGUUCAAUAACUGGGUAUCAUAUCCUAGCCAGUGUGCCAUCUGUUUUGUGUUUGUUUCCUUCUAGUUCCAAAGGGGUCAUCAUGAUGUUACCUUCUUUUGAGGUGUCUAUGAUGACUUCGUUAAUAUCAAUAUUAACCAAUUCAAUCUGUCUUAACUAUUUGUAAGGGGUAUGAUGUAUGCAUGAUUAUAACAAUGAUUGCGCAUACAAUCGCCGCCAAAGAAACGGUCAAUACCAUUAAGACAUAUUACAGACAAUUCUCAUAAUCUAUAAUGAAUAUACAUAUUCACUACUGCAGAAGACUGUCAUUUGUAUCGGCUCAUACGUGCCAGGGCAAAGGUCACCCUUGCAUUAAGUACAUUUGCACGGUAAAGACAACCAACACGAAUAAUGAAGUAAACAUGCCGGUGCUUUUGUACACCAACACGCUUACUUAAAUGUACUGGUGUCAUUCCUCACCGGUAGCCGGCUUGAAAAUUAACCAAUUAGAACAAUUAUUUAUUGUAUCGGUGUGAUUUUUGACCUAUUGGAAUAUGAAUUUGACCGUUACUGCAUUCGUCAAGACUCAAGAGAGAAAUAACUGAUCGGCUUCUUAGAGCGUGUGCAAUGUGAAAUCAAGGACUGGAUGGAAGUUGAAGCGCUAGCACUAGUAGAGAAACGACUUUCCAUCCACCCCCUUUUGUCCCGGUUUAAAGUUGGCUCGGGAUAAAAGGUUCACCAACCGGGACUAAAACUCAGUCACUGGUGGGAGGCUCACCAACCGGAACCUUUUAUCCCGGUUGCAAAGGCUAAUGGGAAAAAAAGACUCUGAGAGGCCUUUUAUCCCGGUUUGAAACACCAACCGGGAUAAAAGACCCCCCUUUUAUCCCGGUUGGUAACACCAACCGAGAUAAAAGGGUCAAGAGCCUUUUAUCCCGGUUGGAAACACCAACCGGGAUAAAAGACCCCCUUUUAUCCCGGUUGGUGUUUCAAACCGGGAUAAAAGGGCCCCCACGAGGUGACUGGAAGGUGACUGGAAGGGGAUUAAAUCGUGGGGGACCCUUUUAUCCCGGUUGGAAACACCAACCGGGAUAAAAGGGGGUCUUUUAUCCCGGUUGGUGUUUCCAACCGGGAUAAAAGGGUCCCCCACGAGUUAAUACAAAAGGAUAGUAUCCCCUACAUAGUCAGAUGUGGUGUGUAGGUGGGAUGGUAAGGAAGCUACGCGCGAGCUCCGGAAUUUUUUUUUUUUUUUUUUGCAGCGUCGGCGCUCUCUACCCUUUUAUCCCGGUUGGUAUUACCAACCGGGAUAAAAGGGGGUCUUUUGUCCCGGUUGAGUGACCCGGGAUAAAAGACCCCCCCUUUUUUCCCCGGUUAGUUUAUCCCGGAUGCAUUUUCGGGAUAAAAGCACCCUACCAACCGGGAUUAAAGCUCACUUCUCUACCAGUGUAGCUUCAUCUUCCGCUGCAAGUUAAUUGCUUGGAUAAGAAGUUGUAGCCGCUGCAAGUUAUAAAUAGUCCCGCUGAUGCUGUGCUCCGAAGUCUAUACUAUAUAUGCGGAAACUAGAUUGCUUUCAGGAUUUUGGGUAACUAAAUUUAACAUUUGUACAUAAAAAUGUUAGUUUACGAAUGUUAAAUCUAGUUACCCAAGCAGAACAAGAAGAUAGUAUAUAGUAUAUACUAUAUAAAUCAAGUUAACAAUUAGUCUAAAUGUUAUAUCUACUUACCCAAAAUAUUGAAAGCAAAGAAAGAAUAAGUAUAUAUCUUUUGUUGGAAAAUUGGUCCACGGAGAGGCCCAUUUAGGCCUCGUUCGUUUCACCGGGAUGGGAUUCCAGUCAGGAUUACUUCCAAGUUCGGUUUGAGUGAUUCCACCCGUGUCACUCAAUCCGGCUAGGAUUCAUUCUAUGGGUGAGGAGGUAUGGUUUCAAUCCAGGCCAUCUAAUGUAGAAGGAUUCCAAUCCAGGCCGGUUUUCGUUCCAGGCCAGACUAAAACGAACAACACUUUCAAUGCAAGUCUGGUUUCAAACCGGGCCAUUUCAAACCACCCGGAAUGGACCUCGUUCCAGGCCAAUCCGGUGAAAACAAAUGAGGCCUUAAUGGAAUCCCAAAGCAAGAGUUCAGUGGCAUUCUAUAGUCCCAUGCUGCUAGUUUGAGUUGGUCGAAGCCAACUUAAAUAGGAGAGCUCUCUCACUUCUCUAAAUACGUAACUGAAGGAGAGAAGGGGGCUUGGGUUACACAACGCACGCACGCACGCAUAUUUGCGUUCUUUUCGCGUAACCAACCGCGUGACUUGAAACUUGCGACGUAGCGUGCUGCUAAGUCAAGUUGAUAUAACCUUUUUGCCGUUUGCAUGUAAUCUUUUGACAACGGUCAUUGGAGGUGAUAAGCACGCAGUCAAUACCUUAAUCUUGAGUUAAUAGGGUGGUUACUACUGCCAAUUAGUGGGGCAAUUUUGUAGGGGAAACGGUUAGCAGAGGGCUACCGUCUUCUCUAUAAGAAGUUCUGGAGACGUCCAGGAACACACAUGUACAUGUGAGAGACCCACAAAUUCCUUCCCUUCUCCCUUUUCCAUGUGGUGAAGUGUGCUGUGGUACUGAGCUGCUUGAUCUCGCCGCUCUUCUCCUUGGCAUGCACCGAGGAGGAGGGUGAGCGGUAUCUCCGAGCUAUUGCCGUCAGGAAGCCUGCACGAGGGACAACAAAAAGUUUUUGGGUAGCGCAACUGCCAGCACAACUCUCCCUCCGCCUCUUCUUCACGGUUGAUGGCCACCACAAGCAUAAACCUCGCCUUCGCAUCCACGCAAAAGGGUCGCUGGGGUGCCUUCUUGCAUCGCUUCUCAGCCUCCUUGACUUGCGGCCAGCCAAGAACUGCGCCACCACCUCGGGUGCACGCCACCACUCCAGGGCUGCUACCCCAUGCCUGCGGCCGCCGCCGGCCACCACGCGUGUGCAACCGCGUCGCACCGCUUCCUUGCUUUGUGCCACCACUGCUGCUGUACCACCAGCUCCACCACCUUGGGCUGGUCGCCAGAGUGACUGAUAACUUAUUAUCUGUAACUACUAUUAACUCAGGGAUACAUGCGUCUUUUGCUUCUCCUACUAAUAUGUCCUAAAAUAUCUAGGAUGCCUUAUAUUUCUGGACAGAGGAAGUAUUUGAAUAAAAUGAACCAAUUUAAAAAAAUGUGUUGUACACUACUACAGAAAGACCUAUCAGUGUCAAACCCAAAAAUGUUGUCACCGCCAGUUUUGGGCAUCAUUGGUGAAAGGUUGGCGGUGAUGGGCUUUCCCUUCAACAACGGCACUGGAGCCGACGGUGAUUGACAUUAGAAAACAAAAAAGGGGACCCUACCUAGCCACCCCUGCAACCCGGCCGGCCGUGCCUCCCCUCAUCCCCACCACCUCGCCUCCCCAUGACCCCCCGCCGGCGCCCUUGCGCCUAGCCCCCUCAACUGCCCAGCCGGCCACCCUCAUCACGAGAGAGAGGUGCAUGUUGUAUAAUUGCGUGAAUUUUUUAAUGUUUAAUUUCAUGUAAGUUCCGUGUAAUAAAUUGUACAAGUUUUAUUGUAUAUAUGAAUUCCAUAUAUAUAUAUAUAUAUUUAUAAUUUAAUGUAUGGUUUCAUGUGUAUAUUUCAAUCAUGUGUAUAUUUAGUAGAUUGCCGAUUUUCUUUUUCUACUAGACAAGGGUUGAUGUAUAAUUACGUGUAUAUGUUUAUUGUACGGGCAAUUAGGACAAGUUUUGUAUAAAUUUCUUUUAUUUGAUGGUUGUUGUAUGGUUUCAUGUAUAUACAUUUAUUGUACUACUUUAGACAAUUUUUAAUUUAAUGUUUCUAUGAUUAGAUGUGUGUAUAACUAAUUGUAUUAUUAGUUAAGAUGGGAGCUAAAGAGGAUGAAAGGUAUAUAAUGGAGCAGAUUAUUGCUAGCUCAAACGUUGCAAGAACCUACACCGAGGGUGAGGGUAGCUAGGUGGACAUGUACCUCAACAUGUCCAGUGAUGGCAAUGACGAUGAGGAGCACGAGCAUGACAUCUAUGAUAAUGCGGAACAAGACAUUGCAGAAUUGGAAGGUUCUAAUGAGGUGUGCUUCAUGUUGACAAUCUAGUUGGCUUUUUUUCGUUGGUCACACCUUAGUUACCAUAGAACUUCGUCUCGGGAGAAGAUUGGUGGUGGUAUGGUGAUUGGAAUUUUAUUUCCACGAAAUCUGAUUUCCAUCGAAUCAUAUCCCUUGUAUUUAUCUUCUUUUUAUUUGUGAGAGCAUCUUCUUUAUGCUUGCAAAACAAUUCAAGUGCACAUACUACCCCUAGGGUGACGAUUGGGAGUAGAAAUAAUUGCCAACAAAACAACACCACAUCCUAAGAUUCUUAACUUGUGGCAUAAUUAGUCUAGUAAAAAGAAAGAUAAAAACCUAAUGGGUGUAUGUGAGUGCAAUGUGUAUAUGCAUAUGAGUGGAAGGCAUAUAAGCAAAGACAAUAUUUACACAUAGUUCUAAACACCAUGUUUACAGCUAGGUUGCUGAAUUUCUCCAUAGCCAUAGAGAUUAAUUAACCAAGGUCAAAACACGAUGUCUAUCCCAAGAUCAGUAAUUAUUUAUAGCACAAGAAAAAGAAAGCGCAUUGCAAAGUUUAUAAACCAACCAAUACAGCAUGAAAACAAGAUGAAUAGCUAGCAAGGUUUAUUAAACUGAAUGAUGACGGUCUGUAAGCAAGUUUAAACACCAUCUUUACACAAGAUUGCAAAUGGAAAAUGCCCAUAUGAAGCACUAACAUGGAUAUGAAAUCAUUCAUCAUAAAGCGUAAAGAACAACCAAGCCAACCAUAUGCAAAGCAUGAAUGGAAUGCAAUGAAGGUGCAAGAGAACAUUUUUGGAUGAACACAUUAUGAUGAUGGCAAAAUGCAAUGCAUGCAGAAAAAAUAAAUAUGAACAUGAAUAUGAUGAUCAGGGGCGGACCCACUAUUGUGGCCUGGGUAUUCCUCGGCAUACCCAAUAUUUUUGGGAAAAUGUUUAGUAGUUUUUAAUGGCAUAUACAUGUAUAAUAUAGUUUAGGUGUUAAAAUUGAUAUUCACAGCUAUUUUGGGCUCCAAUUCGCGUCCAAACCAACCUGGCCCACAGACCGCACCCGGCCGCCCGGCCCAUCGGCCCAUCUUGUCACUGAUCCUCCCACCACCACACUCAGCCCGUCAGUUAGUCAGGUCCCGAGCUCCUGCCUGACCUAGUCCGCUACCACCGCCAGGCGCCAGGCACAGCUGUACACGCCGCCCCCGUCCACCCACGUCCGCCGCACGGCCGCGUCGCGCCCCCCCCCGGCGCCCGCUGCUGCCAGAACCCAUUAGGCCUCCACCGGCAAGUCCACCCACAGUCCCGCGCGACGCGGCAGCCUCUUGGCUCUCGGCGCUCGCGGCGCGCCAAUGCCUGCGCAGCCCCAGCAGGCGACUGCCCCCCCCCCCCCCGCAUCGGGCCUCGGCCCCUCCCCAGCUCCCCCUCCCCCCUCCACCAGGACUGCCUGCUGGCCCCCACCGCGAGGUAAUCGAAAUGGACUGCUCAAUCUCUCAAUCUGUUGACAUGAUGCACACGGUUGCAAAAAUAGAUGUGUCAAAAUAGAUGUAUUGCCAAUUGCUAUAGAUGCAUAUGGUUGACAUGAAGAAGUCAAAAAUGACAUUUGGUUCCUUGUAGGCAGUCAAAAAUGAAGAAGUCAAACAAUAUUGAUCUGAAAUCAAUGCGGGAAAGGGCUACGAAGACACACGGGUAGAUUCCCUUGUGAACUUUUUAUGUCGUUCGUCUAAAUAUAUUUUUGCAAUGGGCAUACCCUACUCUGAAAUCCUGGGUCCGCCACUGAUGAUGAUGGUCUAAACAUAAAACAAGCCUAGAUUAAUUAGCUACAACUGAAAUUAAGCAAAGGUUAAUGUCAUUGACCCUAGCUCUAUCCUAGCUUUUACUAAAGUCCCGGCACAUAUAGUGGUUGGGCCCACUCUCUCUACUUCCCUCUCUGCUGCAUGCACACACACGAGCAACUGGAGGCCCAACAAAGCCCAGAAGGGUUCGGCCGAACCCGUCCGAUCCAGUCUGAGCGCCGCUCCCUCCCAGCCUUCGCGCAGAUGCUCCUCCAACGUUCCUUGACCCCUCCCUCAGUGUCCCAUUGGGUUUAACAUUGUAGGAGAGGAGUCCCUUUUUUAAAAUCUCAACCACCUCCUCUCCUCAUUCACUCCACUCUCAUCUCCAUCAAACUCACCAAGAUCCACAUCGGAAAUACCUGCUUACCACCAUGGCUGGCAAAGCCCUCGUCCCUUUCACCAACUUGGGCUUGACCAUUGAUCUCGAUGGGAAAAUCACUCCAGCAAAUGUCAUUGUCCCUGUCGGCGAUCUGGCGAUGGAGGAGGUCCAGGCACUAGAGGUCGAGCCCCUAGCCAUCAUACCGCCCAAGGGGUAAAGCAGGAGCAUGACAGGCGCUGCUAGGGGUUCAGCCGAACUCCCAGUUCAGCCAAACGAGGACGGCGUCGCCUCGGCCUCCCGCUCGACUGCAUGCUUCCCCUUGCCAAGGAGGACUCCAGAACAGCGGGCGCGUGCGUCAAGUCCCUACAAAAGGCUGAAAUACAAUGAAUAUCCAGGGUCACCCUUGAAGAUGGGUGAACGCUACGCCGGGUCCUUGUUUGACUAGUACGGCGAUGCAUUCUGCCACCGCUAUGUCGUUGUCGAGAUUAGCGGAUCAAGACUUAGACUAGUAAAUUUCUUUUAUGCGCGUAAGGCUUCAGAUGGUGGCGUGGGAGACAUGGGUUUUAUACUAGUUCGGGCAAUGGAAUACCCUACGUCCAGUGUCUGGAGCUGCUUGUGUUGCCCACGCGGGGUUCUGUAGUAGGGGUUACAGGUGUGCGAGAGAGGGAGCUAAUCCCAGGUCUCUUAGGCGUGUUCCGGUCCUCUAGAUGGGAGAAGUGUGUUCUGUUUGCUUGGGAGUAUCGGUUGUGUCUGAGUUGUCUCCGGAGCCUCCUCCCGUCUCAGGUCCCCGAUUCUCCUUUCAUAGCACAAGGAGACCAUCGGGGUUACAGACGAGACCGAGCGUGGGGAGGAGUAAAGAGAUAAACAUAGCUAGGUAAAAAUACAACAAGAAAGGGGGGAACCAAGUUUCUAGGUCACCGGCGUCCUCGCCGGCCUUCGACUUCCGCCGGCGCAUUUGUCGGAGGAGGGUGGCCGCCAUCGCGUUCUGUCGAUGGCUUCCUCGGUGACUGUAGCCACCGGGCGUGAUGAUGGCAUUUCGUCGUGACCCUUUGUCUGUUGGGGGAGGCGGCGGAUCCUGCCAUUCUGCUGACGGCUCGCGGAGUGCGAACGUCGCAUCCCUGCCGCUGGGCACGCGGGGCGCGAGAACGUGCGAGGCUUCCCCCUACCCCAGGCGGCGCAGGCCAUGAGUGCCCUGUGGCAAAUCGGAGGAGGCCGCAGCUACUGUAGCUUGUACUGUGCAGCCACGUAUGGGUACUUGUGGCAGGUUGCGUGGUGGAUGCGGAUAUCCUUCUCCCUGACAGAUCUGCGGCGCAUUUAUGGCGAGAUCGACAUGGGGACCCACAAGACCCGCGCCCAAGGCGGAUACUUGUCUGGAGGGCCCGGGUUAGCCUGACCCCCUACGCUUGGGGUCGGGCGAGGCGGAGACUUGCGGCGGGGCGUCGGACGCUCCCGACACUAGACCUGCGGUCGCGCAAGGCGGAGCUUGGUCUUCCGGGGGUCGGGGGUGCCGGACCCCAGGAUGCGGGGUCGGGCGAGGUGGAGCGUAAUUCUUGCCUCCCAUGUUGGGCCGAUGGCAGUCUUUGUUACCUCUAGUGGGCUUGGGCCUUUAUGUUUUGUUGUUUCCAUGGGCUUCGAGAGGUCGUUAAUAUUUCCCCCCAACAGUAGCCCCCGAGCCUGUGGUGGAGUGGGGGCGCUCCUCCGGAGGCUACUAUCAUCGCCCCUAGGGAAUCCUCGCAGUUGAUCCGGGAUAGGAGGUGUUGUUUGCACGGCUUGACCGAGGGGGUCGAUUAGGCGACGCAUCCUGUGAGCGACUCGGUGCGGGAGGGUUUCUUGUUGUUCCCUUCUGUCUGAGAGCCUUAAGUCGAGACCACCUGCGUGGCCUUUGGUUGCAAGGCCAGCCCCCGAGCCCCCGCACGUUGCAGGGGACCGGUCGGAGGCUAGGUCGACUUUUGUUCAUUACCCUCAAGCGUCUGUUCGCUAGGACGGAGGGGGCGAGCCGUGCCAUGCUAUCCUCAUCGGACGAACCAUGGUGCUCAUUGAGUUACUAACGGGUUGAUUCGAGUGGGAUCCCGGUCCCCGUUCGGGGGGGGUCCGGCUUGGGCCAAGCUGGUGGCGUACCCCAGGCUCCGGUCGGCCAGUUCAUAUAGUUCCUGAGUCCGUUCGGUCGGACCGGGGGCUCAUUGCCUUUCUUCGGGGAAAAACCAUGAACUUUGAUGCCGGUCCAGACUCGAAUGUGAGAUUGAGACGCCCGGGGCUGUCGCGUGCCCGGGUGAUGGCCGCUAGCGGACCCGUCUCCUCUCACCCCUCACUCGGGGGUAUCCUGAGGCGGCUGUCGAACCCGUGGCGGGCCAGCCUUCGAACCUCUGGAUCGUAAUGGGCCGUAGGGGCGUUUUCAGCCCCGUAUCCCUUUUUACCUUUUGGUGGGCCUUGGGCCGAAUCAUGGAGGAGGUCGGGCCUUGGGCCGGAUGCGGAGGAUGUCGUGCCUUGGGCCGGAUGUGGGGGACGUCGUGCGUGUCUUCCGGGAGACGAAGUGGUGGAGGGUGCCAACCCGCGAAUCGAGGGAGGAGGGGAUGUUUCUACUGCAGGUCAUGCGCACGGUUUCCGAAAAGGCAGCGGGCGUGACGGGACGUACCUCGCGCCGCAUUUAUUGCGAUGGGGGCGUCUGUUCUGCUUCCCUCGUGCCUUCCCUAUAAAACGAGGACUUCGCCUCGCCGGUUCCGCCCGCCAUCUACCUUCAAGCCUUUUCGCCUCCUCGCGCGCCCUUAGCUUUCCUGUGCCCGCUUCGUCUUCCUCCGCCCAGUGCCGCGCCCUUUCUCCCCAUCCGCCGUCGAGUUCUUCUCCCUCCGGCGAUGGGAUCCUGGGCGCGUUCCCACUUCGGCCCCUCACGCGCCGAAGGCCUAGUGAGGAAAGGCCUCCUUUGCGAGAGGACGGAGACGGAUGAGUGGGGGUUCCCUGAGAUGGAAGAGGUGCCGACUCCGCCCACCGGCUACGUCGUUUCCUUUGCCCACUUCCACGAGAGGGGGUUUGCGACUCCGCCGAGCCUCUUCUUCCGCGGGCUUUUGUAUUACUACGGGCUUGAGCUGCAGCACCUCAACCCCAACGGGAUUCAGCACGUCGCGGCGUUCGUUGCGGUGUGCGAGGGGUUCCUGGGCAUUGAGCCCAACUUCUCGCUGUGGAAGUACUUCUUCACGGUCAGCCUAUACCAGAAGGCCGAGAAGAGGGGAAGCCAGCAGCGGUCGACCCCGGUGCCGAUAGGGUGCGUCGGAAUCCACCUCUGCCAUACUCGCGCCAAGGAGUAUAUCGCGAUGAAGACCGCGGCAUCCCACAAGGGGUGGCACCAGCAAUGGUUCUACGUGAAGAACUACUCCAACCCCCCCUGCCGGAGUUCACCGGCCGCAUUAUUGAAGCGGCGCCGGAGGUGUGGGUGUACGGCCCGGUGGAGAAGGAGAAGAAGCGGAUCACCGGCCUGCUGCAGGCCAUCGAGCACCUGAAGGAGAGGGGACUGACCGGAGCCGGAGUCAUCGGGGCGUACCACGCCCGGCGGGUGGCGCCGCUGAUGCUCCGGGUCCGCUCGCUCGCCGACAUGACCCCCGGUGCUCUCACCGAUGGCACUGUCCUCGCGACGGGUGCUCUCGCUGCCUCCGAGAUCCGGCAGCGGAUCCGGGAGGCGCUGGAGGACAAGGACGCCGAUUACCCGGUGCCCGGCCACCCUCCGAUGCGCCCGGACGAGAAUUUCAUUGAUCUGGUAAGGAUUUUGCGCGCCAGUUUCCCUCUCUUGCGUUUCUUGGUAUGCCGUUCUGACGCGAGGCCCUCUGUGUUUGCAGGGUAGCAUGACCCGGGUCGUCGACUUGCGUCCGCCAGUGUCGGAGGACGCCGAGUGGCGGUAGCAGAACCGUCUCCUUGCCGAGAAGCAAAAGUGACGCAAGGACAAGAGACAGCGAAGAAGAAGAAGAGGGCCGCCAAGGAGUUCCAGCGGCGGCGGUGGGGAUAGGUCGUGUCGGAUGACGAUGACGAUGAGAAGGAGGAGGAGGAUGACGAGGAGGAGGAGGAGUUUAUCCUGUCCCCCCGGUCAGGGGCGCUUGUUAUCCGGGAGCCGCGCUCCCAAGCGGCCAUGGGGGACAAGGCGGGCGAGCUGCCUGCCCGGACCCGAUCCUGCGAAGCUUUGGGGGCGCGCCCCAGGGGUCGGCGCAGAGCGCCCCCCGGGGGUCGACGGAGCCGACCCCCAUCCCUACACCUGCAGCCCAGGAGCAGAGGAGCAGCGACAAGCGGCCGUUGCCAGAUGCCCCGGGGUCGGCGUCCAGCUCAGAGGCGAAGCGCGCGCGCCGCCCUUGCGCUGGGGGAACGUGAGUUGAAUUUCCUUGCGAAUCUCGUUCCUUUCCAUGCAUUGUGUUUGUUUCCGCUGAUGCUGUUUGUUGUCUCACAGCACCGCCCCUCAAGGCCUUGUCCCGCCGUUGGCGCCAAAGAAGGCGUUGCGGUGUUGUCGCCUCUGCGGGGCGGACCGCGGCUCCGCCGGCGGCGAGUGGCGGGGUCACUGGUGAGACCGCGGGUCCUACCGCGGAGGUGGCCCCUGCGGCGGCAACCGGUGGAGUGGUGCCACCGCCGGGCAUGGGACAGGGUCUGGACCCCGCUCCGUCCUCCGCCUCUUCGGCCGACCCCGCGGUGCAGAGUAUCGCUCCUGGGGGCCCUCAGGCCGGGGAGGUGAUUGACCUCGACGCCGACGAGGUGGAGGAGACGGCGGCGGUGGAGACGGGGGCGGUUGCCCCAGCGGCCAUGACGGGGACGACGACGGCGACGGGGGAAGGAGAGUCUACCCCCGCGGCCACGGCGGGGACAGUGGCGACAGAGGAGGCGGGGACGCCCGCCCCGGCGGCUGCGACGGAGGAGGCGGCGGUGACGGAGACGGGGGCUUCCGCCCGGGAAGCCACAGCCGAGGUGGCAGCGGCGACGGAGGUGAAAGUGCCUGUUCUGGAGGCCACGGUGGGGGUGGGGACGCCUGCCUCGUGGCCACGACGGAGGGCGAGGCGGCCCCAGGGACACUUGCUCCGGCACCCGCGUUGGAGGCGGUGGCGCCGACGGGUUGGCCCGUGGCGGCCUCGACGGGGGCGGGGGUGCGUGCGCCGGGACCGUCGGUGAGGCCGGCGACUUCCGGGAUGGUGGUGCCCGUCUUGACGGCGGCGGCGGCGCGGUCGGCCCCCGCCCUUGCCUCUACCACUCCCAUUCCCAAGGCGUGGAGCGGAUCCGUCCUGCGUUGGUCGUCUCGUGACGACCCGCAGAGGCCCCUCUUCACGUUGGAUGAUGCCACAGAAUGGGGCAAGUGGCAGGCGCUGCAGGGCGGACUCGCUAACGUCCGCGCCGCUCUAUCUUCGGCGUUGGGGGAGCUGGACGGCGUCAUCUUCCCCGGUGGCCGGGUAUGGUGCUUUCUCCGUUGGUUAUUUUCUUCCCGUUACUUCGUCCCUGAUGGCACAUUGUUCUGCAGGCCCUCCAAGAAUGUAGCCGGGGAAAAUCUGAUUUCCUUUGGCUCGAGCAGGGGCUCUGGGAGCGCUUCAACUUGGAGUUGCAGCGGACCGGGGAGCUGACCAUGCAAGUCGCCACCGUCUAGCAUGUCAUCGACGAUCUGCGAAGGCACGAGCAGGCGGCACAGGAGGACGCGCGGCGGGCGGAGGCCAAGUUCCAGGUCGUUGCCGAAAGGGCUCGCUGCGACCGCGAGGAGUUCCAGGCCGUUGCCGAAAAGGCCCGCCACGACGCUGAGGAGCUCGCACGGCUGAAGGUGCAGCAUGAAGCUCUUCAGAAGAGCGGCAGAGGGCCUGGCAGGACCGGGACGCCGAGAAGGUCCGGAAGGAGGAGGCUGAGAAGGUGGCGGCCAACCUUGGGGCUGAGGUCAGCCAGCUCCAAGUGCAAGCGCGAGAGCUUCAGGCCUCCGUGGCCCAGGGGCUCGACCAGGAGCGCCAGCUGAAGGCCUAAUCCGAGGGUAUGACUCUGUUUAUUUCUUUGUCUUUGUGAUGUUGCGGUGAUAUUUUAUUUGGCGGGUUCUUCUGGAUGAUCCUUGCAGAUGAGCUCAACUGGCUGAGGGAGGUGCUUGACGCGGAGCGCGCUGAGCACGGCGACCUGCGGGACGCGGUCCGCGUCAUCUGUGACUUCCUUAGUGUGGUCCAGGGGGAGGGGACGAGCUCGCUGGCGGCUCGUGUCCUCGGGACGUACCGCCGGACCAGCGAGAUCGCCCUGGAAGCGCUUCGCACCGGCUUGAGGCAAGCCUUUGGGGUCUUCGGCUCCCACUAUUCCGGCAUCAACUUCGCCGGGAUGAGCGGGGGAUACGCCACCGGCUACUACGAGGCCGAGCUGGAUGAGAUCGACGUGUCGGUGCUCAGCCCGGCGGAGGCCUUGGUGAAGCUCCUCGAGGAUGAGGCCGUCCCGCCCGAAGAUCCCCGGACGAGUUAACUAUAUCGGGCUGGCGCCCCAGAUGUAAAUACGUUAGGGAAAGACUUGUUUUUUGUGAGGGCCGUAGAGGCCUUUUCUAUGAAUUGUCGUAAAAAAGUUUUUGAUUCCCUUUCUUGCUUUUUGGACUUGGAAAGUUUAGAGCACGUUGUCGGGCGUGUCAGUAAGCUUUGAUGAGCGAAGGCACCGUAGCCGCUGGGGCGUCGUUUUUUUUGCAGUCCGAUCAAUCUUGCCUGAACACCGUUCGUGCACUUUCUCCUUUUUAUGCCCAAAAGUUCAGAAAGAGGGUCGGCUCGGAAAGAGAAAGCGUUUUGAGAGGGUGUCAAGUGGCUUAGGUACUUGCGGCAGGUUGCGUGGUGGACGCGGAUAUCCUUCUCCCUGACAGAUCUGCGGCGCAUUUAUGGUGAGAUCAACAUGGGGACCCACAAGACCCGCGCCCAAGGCGGAUACUUGUCUGGAGGGCCCGGGUUAGCCCGACCCCCUACGCUUGGGGUCAGGCGAGGCGGAGACUUGCGGCGGGGGGUUGGACGCUCCUGACCCUAGACCUGCGGUCGGGCGAGGCGGAGCUUGGUCUUCCAGGGGUCGGGGGCGCCUUACCCCGGGAUGCGGGGUCGGGCGAGGCGGAGCGUAAUUCUUGCCUCCCAUGUUGGGCCGACGGCAAUCUUUGUUACCUUGGGUGGGCCUGGGCCUUUAUGUUUUGUUGUUUCCAUGGGCUUCGAGAGGUCGUUAAUAUUUCCCCCCAACACUAUGAGGAGGACUUGUGGGCAGAAAGUCAGCUACCACAAACUUGCCUCUGAAUAUUUGGAGUGCAAACAUUGGAUGGUGGUUGUGGAGAGCCCCAGCCAUACCUCGCACCCGUGGAGAGGUAAUUGUCGGAUUGCUUGGUUCGUCUCUAGAAUGCGACAAGGUCAGGCGCCACCUCUCACUGCUGCCAGUCAGAAGGCCGAGGGGCCAGUUUCAACAUAGUAAUGAGAAUCUCCGAAGGCCAAUAUGGUUAAGCAGCUAACCUCCAUGAUCAUAGACUUACGUUUAGAAAAUAGGAGGCUUAGCGAUGCGUUAACAGAGCAGAAGUUAGAAACAGAAGAACUUAAGGACGACUUCCGUGUCCUCCGCCUUGGUCUUUGUGCUAAGAUAAAGCGCUUGUACAAUGCCACGGGGAAUGACGGUCUCUACGAUGCAGCUCAAUAGACGUGCCCCUUGUAUCCUUUCCUUUAGGCACUUUAGAAUAUGUUUAUUUGUUUUCCUUCAUUUUAAUUUCCAAUAGAUUGUUAGCGCCUCCAAUUUAAUUUCAAUAAAGUGUAGACUCACCGGUCAUCCAACUUGAUGGAGUCCUUUUGUCACCUAGUUGUCUUUGGAAGAAGUAGCUGGGUACAAAAUAAGUGUGGGGGAGAGCCACAGACUCUCUAGAGCUGAAACAAUGCACAACACCCACAAAUAGAGAAAACCACGCUGCACCAGCACGUACGUGAAAGUGGAGCCAGAGCUGGACCCAUAGGGGUUUGGCCAACCCAAGGGGUGGCCCACUCGGGCCAUCUUCAUCCACCGCGUCGGUUUGUGUCUCUUUACCCCUGAUCUCCCUGAUUCAUGAGUUUGAAUGAAUUUUAAAUCUGAUCAACUAAUUCAAACUCAACUAAAAUGAAUCAACUGCUCCACCUGCUCUACAUGUUUUCUAUGGUUGGCUUGCAUAUGUUUUAUUUCAUGCUUAUCAUCUUGAUGCUUGUGAACAAAUAUCUUUAGGACAGCAUGCUCAUCUAAGUAGUUGAUGUGUAUGAUAUGGUUCGAUGAUAUGAUCUUCACUCUUAAUGCUUAAGUGCUUGGGAAAAUCUAUUUGAAAAUUUAAAAGCCUUUUUGAAAUCUCCUCUUUGAUGUGCCAAAGUCCUACCAAAGCCAUAUGAUAAGUUAUCUUGAAAAACCAUUUGCAUAUGUUGCUUGUCUUUGCAUUGAGCUUUGUCAAAUUGGUGUGACCCUUGUCACAAUUCUUUUCAUACUUUCAUGAUCAAGACUCAUGUGCACGCCAUAUACCCCUUGCUAUGCUUCUAUGAGAUGUUAGCAUUGUACCAUCCAUUCAUUCCACAAAAUAAAUGCUCCACCAUAUGUGUUGGUCUCCUUCUAAGAUUAUUGUUACAAAAGAGAUAUGGGCUAUCAAAAAAAAAUAUGAAUGUCCAAGAAAGUUGGACACAUGAAUGUCCAAUAAAAAGAAAAAGAAAGAUAGCCAUGUCCUCAGAAAUAUUUACAAAGGGAGAGAGAUCAUACAAAAAGGAGUUUCCAUUCCAUCCACCACAUCCAUACAUGUGCACAUCUUGAUCUGAUUGUAUGACUUAUUUUUCUCUUUGGAUCUGGUCUUUGACUUUGCAAUAUAUGUGAUGCAAGCAUGCCUUAUCCUUCAUAGCCUACCUUGAGCUCCACAUAUAGCCAUCAUUAGAAGUAGGAUGAAGAAAGGCAAGUCUAAUGCCUUGGUGAGGACAUAUACACAUUGAGUGAUCUGAGAGAAUCAAAUGAGGAGCUAAGCAAGGUUUUGUUUUGAAAACUAAUUGAAAAAUCCCAAGCUACUUGGCAUAAGGAGUUGAGGUGACUUGAUUCAAGACCAUUACAUUCCUCAACUACCCAAGAUGGCAUGAUAGACACUCCAAAGUUCACAAGUGCAGGUAUGGUUUGGAAUAUCUUUUAGGCUCGCUUCAUACCUUUGAAAGUUAUGUUUCACCUUAGUCCUUUCUCGUUCACUCAAGGAUAAGCAAAGGCUAAGUGUGGGGGUGUUGUUGAUGGCUCUUAAGUACAAAAUCUGCGCCAUCAACUCUUGCAUAAACACAUAAAAUAUGAGCAUCAACAAUAGUGGUAGGAGUUAUUACAAACGAAUUCCACAAGUCUUGGUGAAUAUUUGUAUGCAAGCCCAAUAGGAGAGAAAAGACACCUCAAAAGCAAGGAAACACACUCUCAACCAAUCAAGAGCAAGCACAUGGAACCAUGGGCCCACAACCAAAAGGAAAUCGACUACAUUCCAAACACCCUAUACCCACAUGAGAACCCAUAGGGCAGUGACCCAGAGCAAAGGUGAUGCCAGAGUGUAGAUGGUAGUUAGCAUGCCAAAUUUUGAACCGCAAGCGCUCGGAUUAGUUGUUUCUUUUCCCUUAGAGAUUCCCCCAAGGUUUAUCAAUCCAUGGAACAAGGGAUUUGCACGUUUCACUAAGCACUAAUCAAUGUAAUUGAAAGCUUUUCGAAUAAGAUAUGAUUAUGCUAACAAAGGAACUAAGCAAUCUAGAUUAAGAUGGAUAGAGAGUACAGGUUGUGAACAAGAUAGAUUAAACGCUUGUAGAUGCAAUCACCAUGCAUGAAUGAAUUAGAUCUAGGUGUUAUUGUGAGUGGUUGUGAACCAUGCCCAACACUUUCCCACCCGCAACAUUGUCACUACAUGUGGGUACUCAACUAUCGGAACAUAAGAACACAUCAAGAUGAUCAUUCUAGGUAAGCAAAUAAGCAACCCAAAGUAGCGCUGGCCAGCCUUUUCAUGAAAGAGCAUCAUCAAGAUAAGAUUGAUAACAAAAUAGAUCUCAACCAAAGGUUCAGCGAUUACAAAUCAAGAUCUUCGUAUAACCCCGAUGACAAAUAGAGGUAUUACCCCCAUGAUCUUACACAUGUUGAUGAAUUUUAGGGUAAAGGACACCCUGUAGAUCAACUGGACCAAAGAUGAUGAUGAACGGGGGCAGGGAAGGCCCAGGUUGAUCAGCCUGCGCACUUUUGAGCCGAUCAGCUCAGGGGGUUUCCUCCUCCCCUGGUGCUCCUCUUCGCGUGGCCUCCUCUGGAUCCAAUCUUCUCUUCAUUUCUCCUACUUGUGGCGGCAAUGGAUGGUGUUUGCAUGGUGAUUUCCUCUUCUCCCCAACUCUCCCUCCUUGAAGUCCAUGAGGGGGUAUUAAUAGUCUCCAAUAGGCGGCAGCUCUGGGUCAAUGUCAGUGAAAAAAUCCUAGAGAUCAUCGUACACUUCAUGCUGAGGAAACAAGAGGUUGACCGAGCCCUGGGAUAGACCAAGAGGAUCAUCCUAGAGGGUCCCAGGCUAAUCGGUCUAGGCCCUUCCUAGCCCUUCUAGUCCUCUCCUUCCUCGUGCUGGCUUUUCUCGAUGACCCUUGUCCAAAUAUCCAUGAAGCUCUAUAUACAUACCCCCUUGAUUAUGUUGUAUUUCCUGUCAAAAUACAAUGCUCCAAAAUACAACACAUAUGCAAUAAUAGGGUUAUUUCAGGUGCCAAUUGGUGGGUUAGUAUACGAAUAAGCAUGAAAAUACUGUUUAAAUGACACUAAAAGUGUGUCAAUAACGAGCACCAACAAUCCCCCCACGCUUAGAUCUUGCUCGUCCUCGAGCAAGUCUAGCGACUAAAAGAUCUUGAAUUAAACCUGAGCAAGCGAGUCAAGUACCUAGCCUUGAAACAAAAGAUUAGAGGAGCAGCAAAGAUAAUCAAAGUCUGGGUGUUCAAAGAUUUAUCUAAGCAAAGAUUCCCCUACAACUAUUAUUCAGAACCAAGUAACUUCAAAAAUCAACUACACUUAUUUUCUGGCUUUUUUCAGAGGGUUUUUCUUUCAUCAUAAAACAAUCUCCCUGCAACAAAAUUGAAAAAAGAAUUAUUUUCAAGGUGCUUACAUGUCGCUUAAAUGAAUGUUGGCUAUCCUACUUAUUUGCAAGCUCUCAUCUCUCAAAAUUCAUUCAAUUAUAUGGUGGAGUUUGGGUAAGGUUAGCUAGAAUCAACACGUAUAUUAUUGAAUUAAGAAAACCCUCUAACGGUGGCCUACCUUCCGAGCCAUUGAUCAUAAGAAUAUCCACAUAAUGUGAAGUUUUCAAGGAUGAGAAGAUAUAGAAUGGUGGACAUGUGCAAAGGCAAAGAAAUAUAGUGACUCUGAGGCACAAGCAAUGUCCUCGUCGUUGGAUUGCAUAUGGUUGUAAUGAAAAUAUGUUCCUUAAACAAGUCUAUCUUUUCUUUGCACCACUCUUGAUCUUCAUGACAGUAAAAACUCCUCCUUUAUUUCUUUCUCUCUUUUCCUAUUAUUUCUUUUUAUUUGUCUCAAUACUUUUAUUUCUUUAUUUCUUUAUUUUAAUCUCUUCUCUGAACCUCUUCUGAACACCACAUAAUAAAAAUAAGUUUUAGAUCCUUCCAGAGACCUUCCAGGAAUUUGCUACAUGAAAACCGAGGCAAGGAGACCCCAGGCCGAUUGGCCUAGCCACUCCUUUGCUCUCCUCUAGCUCUUCUUUCUGGUGAAGCUUCCUUAUCUUGUAUCUUUCCAAAAAUUUCAUAAAGCUCGACUAGAAACGGAACAGAUCUUCAUAUAAUGAGUUGUGUUCAAGGAAUUGGUAAUAAAAUUGAGAAAUUUGUGGUUCGGGUUUACGAAUUCAGUACAAAAAUAUGAUUGUUCCAAUGAAGAACUCUCAUUACUGAAUAUUGACGAGGCAAGCAUUCAAAGAUGGUAAAAAGGAUAUGAUCAAUUCUCAAAAUUAAAGCAAACCAAGAGAGAGCGAUCCUAAUUCAAUUCAAAGUGUCAAAUGUUGCUUAUGGUGGUAUGAAUAAAUAUUUUUAGGCAUUGGGUAGGAUAAAUAAAAACUCUCAACCUGGUUAAAAGAUAUUGAUCAAUCUUGUUUUUGCAGAGGUUUUAAAUAAAAAAUAAAAUUUUAAAUCACCUCCAAUUCAAAGCCUUACUCAUAAAUCAUAAUCAAAACUGAAGCACUUGAUCAUCAUAAAGCAUGGGUAUUGCAUAAACAAAUCGAUUACUAAAACUCCACAACUACGAUUUAGAAUUCAAGACAAUGCUCAUAAUCUAAAGUUGCAAAGAUAAAAUAAAAGACAACCAAGCCAAGGUAGACACUAAAAACACUUGCACGAUCCUUGAAUUUUAUUCAUGCUUCUUCUCACAAAGACGCUAAAGUAGCCAUGUAGGCCUAAGUCUUCCCAAAAGCUUAAGAAAACUACUACUUUAUCUACUUUUGGUUGAAAUAAAAAGACUAAUCUAGACUCUCACAUGAUUCGACUCGACCAAAUUAGAUCCAAAAACUCAUACGAGCGACGAUCUCCCCCCCCUCACGCUUAAAAUCUACGACCUCCUCGUCGUAGCCAUAUGGAGUACAAGGAAAAGAAGCUUGUAAACGCUCUAAUGACGCUACCCGCACUACUUGCACACGGGAUGGUUGCUGCUUCCUUCGCUUUGUUCUUCCUCAUGUUGCUGCACAUCCCGAAGAGCUUCCUCACGUUCCUCUGCAAGAACUUGAACUCGUCCUCCUGACGGCGAUCAUUAUCUUCUGCCUUUUGAUCCAGAGCUUGUAAGGCUUGCAUGAUGUCAUCGAACGCAUCGAAGAGGUAGUGGAUGUUCUUCCUGCAAGCUGUGGAACAUGUACGAUCAUGCUCCUCCGAUUCUGGCCCGUCGUCUUCUAGAUCCUUCUCUUUGCCCUUGUCUUGACGGUGGCUAUCUUGCUCCUUGCUCGCCUUCUUGCCUUCAGCCCAAUCCCAGUACGUGUUGUCAUCUUCUUCAUCGUCACGGCCUGCAGCACCCUAUGAUCCAUUGUCUAUCUUGUAUGAAAGAAUCAGAAGCUUGUUCUCCUCAGGGUGUCUUGCGCGGUGCAGCGUUUGCAAGUGCAAGACUUGCUAGUUCCUUUUACACAUUGUAAUGUUCAUUGCAUGCUCUAAUUGUUCUACAUUUGUAAUUUCUUGGUGAAGUUUGGUUACUGAUCCACUGUUUGAUUAACUCUUGGGCCCAAACACUGUACUACUUCUGAUUAGAUAUCUGUAUCUUGACUUUGACCAAAAAAAAUAUCCGGCAGUUUUUGCCAUUAAAGUUUCAUAAAUCAUCUUGCAAAAAUCGUACUAUACAACAAGGGACGGUUUAUUAUAAAAUAUACGUUCCCCUUAUCACAUGCCACUUCCACUCAAAAGGCAACGAAUCAGUUUUCAAUCCUGAGUGAGCAAUUUGCUUUUAUUACCGAUGCCUCCUAUUCCCUUGUGCACCAAGUUUAUUUUGGAUAGGGCUGCAAAAAACGACUAACCAGCUCGGAUUCUCCACCUGCAAAACCGCAUCUGCAGCAACCAACCCCACGCGGUGGAAAAAAAAACAAAACCUAGAAACCGGACGGGGGUGGAUGUGGGGCUCGGAGCCCAAGCAAAAAACGGAUCGGGAGCGCCGGAGCAGGCCAUCACCGGAUGUUAGAGAUAGAAAAUGGUUGAAGUUUGGAGUGGAAAUCAAACAAGCCUUGGAGCAAAGGAAAAAAAAAGAUCAAACCACUCAAGCAUUCAUUUGAUUUAGAAAAGAGAACAUUUGUUAAGGUGGGGAGUUGAAAUCAUCUUUUAAUUAGUUCCACGUAUCUGGUAUCAUUACAGUUGGUUUACUUGUGUAAGUAUAAGUAGCUCUGCCGAAGCCUUUGCUCCUAUAAUUUAGUAACUAGUACAAAUGGAUCAAUAGGAAAAUCAAGUUGCAAUCAUUUCUCAGCCAACCAAACCUAUGUAAAUCAAAUUAUUGUCCAUGCCCGGCAUGCACAGGUGCCUGCCAUGCAUGCAUUGUUGCUCCAUUGUAAUAACCAUUAUUGUCCAUCGAUGUUGCAGCGCAUGUGUGCACUGUGCAGACACCAAGCAUCGAGAUUAUGUACUAGUAAGGUGUUGAAAUAAUGGGCCUAGCCCAUAAGUAAUUUCAGAAUUUCAAAUAAAUCUCAAAGGCCCAUGUGGGCAAGAGGUGGAGUGGUGCAAGUCUUUAGUCCCACAUUGCUAGUCGAGGGGAGGGAUGACCAACUUAAAUAUGGAAGUUGUCUCCACUCCUCCAAGCUAUGUGUGAAGGGCGCGGGCGCGAGGCACUUGCGUGAAUGGUCCGCCGAAAUCUGGCCCCCCUUGCGGGGGCGCGGCUUCCUUUUGCCGUUUUAUUUUUUGGUUACUUGGUCGUUAAGUCAUGGAAUCCUAACCGGUUUAGAUCACGAUCGUGAAGGUUUUUGGGAAGCGCUCUGCGCGACUGCUCGAUCGCUUCUUCCGCUUCGUCAAGUUCUUCGUCGACUCCUUCACCACGGCUCGUCUACCUCUUCGUCGCUCGGGCCUCACUCGUCGUCGCGAACAACGUCAGGCUGCUGAUCGUCGUCGCCUGCUGUAUCCGGUAGUCGUCCAGGAGCCGGUUUUCAUCAAGAAAGAAACGUACGGUCUCUUAACUCACAUUAUGUCUUCCAUACUAGCUAUUAUGAUUGUUGCAGUCUGAUAGCUCUGGAUAGUAUGGUAGAAUGUCUGAUUCUAUUUGCAAUGAUAGACUUGUCUAGAUCUUGCGUAGACAUGUCUAGUUUAAUCUGCUGCUUGUUCAUCAUAUUCAUGAUUUAUUUCUGGAUUAAGUUAAAACUAAAAGUGCUUAUAUAUCCAACAUAAGGUACCAAGAACACGUGAAGCACCCGGGGGAGGCUGCUCCACUCCGCAUGCACAGGUGGGCACGGCACCACUACUCGUCUCCUUCAGGCUGAGGAUAAGUGAUGUACGCUGAUCAACAGACCACGACGGAACCAGCAAUAAUAGUUUCAGCCUGCCUCACAGUAAUUAAUAUAUCCUGUAUCCUCCGAGGACCCCUCCCCUUAAUCUUGGCCUAUUGCAUCCAAUAAUGAUAUGUGUGUUUAUCCAAAUUUACGGCACCUUUGGCGGGGGUUCCACCCAGCUCCGCCCUCUCCACCUUCGGUACUCCAUGGGAAACCAUUCCUUUGGAAUCAAGGAAGCUUGAACAGUAUAACGAAUAAAGUUUCAUAUAUCCAUUUGAUUUCACAUGAAAUAAAAUAUUCUGUCAGAACCAAUGGUUUCACUGAAGCUCCAGGCAGCGAGCGAAGGGGUGAGAGAGGAUAACGCUUACUGUGUGUUACCAUCGCGUGCACCAUGGAUGACCAACGCGCAGCCGAGAUGAAACGGCGGACCUAAACAGGUCCUCGCUAUUUUUGCAGGUUCUCGACCAGGCCAGUUCUUUAGGCCAACCUAUCAUUCACGAGUUAAACAUACGGUGGCUGGAGAAAUGUUCUAUUCUUUUAAACAAUACCAGCUGGUUCCUCCGUUUUUAUUCCACCAAUACAAGCACCACCUUGUAACAUUUCCUAUGUUUUUUUUCCUUUCGUCUGUUUUCUCACUACAUGCGUUGCUCUUUCAUGCAUUUUUUUCCAUUCCUGUAUUCCAAAUAGGUCUACAUGAACACAAAAUGAACUAGGGGACAGAAAAAGCCAGUGAAGUUAGUUUUGAGCUUCACCAGCUACUUGCUACAUAAAGUGUGCUAUAGUCGCAGAAAAGCUAAGCUGGAUCAGACGUGGCCGAAACAAUGCCAAAGAGCUAGGUCCCUAGCUGAUGGCAACACAUCAGAUGACUAGCCUGCUUUUCUGUAAUAAUGAUAUUGAGCAAUACACUGCAUGGCUAACCUGCUUUACAAUAAUUGUCAUUUUAUAAUAUUGGUCAUCACGAGAGAUGCACAUUGCAUACACCGGCCCAUCCCUAUAAAUAGCCAAGCCUUUCAGCCAUCUUGGGCACCUCCUCUCAGGGCCUCGUCUCACCAUCAGACAUCUCGUUCCCAGUUAUAAUUUGCGAGGUUAGAUCAGGCUGCGCCAUGGCGUCCGCAACUGCUGUCAAGAUCGUCGCCACCUUCAUGCUGGUGCUGACCAUGGGCCACCUGAUGGCCGAAGCAUCACCGCAGCCUCGGCGUGUGCUUGCAGAAACGGAGCAUGCUGCGGUGUCCGGGAAUCCUGGCCUCCCAGGUGAUGCUAGCGUCAUGCAGGUCCUCGAACCCGCCCUAGUUUCUCGGCUUGCCUGCAAACCAGAGUGCACAGUCCCUUGGCCUCCUUUUGUAUGUAUCUGCUAGAUCCUCUUCCUGGCUCAACGGAACUUCAGGGAAAUGGCUGUGACGUCGGCCAAAGAAUAAAUUGGAUGAACAUAAUAUACCCCGGGUAGUGUAGCUUGGGCUUUUGUUGAGCGUCUGGUGCUAGUUGUAUUUUGUUUGCUCAUGUGGCUUUGCUUCUGGUUGCAUAUUGGCUUUCCUAUCGCUCUCUGUUGCAGCUAUGGUUUCUGCCAGGUGUGUGUUAAUGCGGUUUGUAAGCGGUGCUUGUUCCUACCUUCUGUUUUCAAUAAAAGAAGUCGGAGUCUCCCUCCGACUCUUGUUAUCAGUCAACAAAAAUGAGUUGUAUCAUAUAUAUCUGCGUCUUUUUUCUACGUAUCUUUGGGCUGCUUCAGCUGGAAGUUUAUCGUAAGUACGUGUAUCAGGAUGAUCGUUUGAAUUAAAACGAAAUGAUAAUGUGUGGCUGCUAGAAAUGGAAUGAGCAUCUUACUAUAUUACUAAUUGGAAGCCUCCACGUGAAGCCACCUAGAAAUUCUAGGUGGACGUUUUAAAAAAAACAAAACUCAUAGAAGCCUCCACCACCUAGGAAUCCUAGGUGGACACUCUAAAAAGAGACAAAUCCUAGAAAUUCUAAAAAAAGAAAAAAAUAAUAACAAUAAGAUUUUUUUGCAGUCAAUUACAUAUAUUUUUUUGAGACACCGUGCUGCUAGCUCUUGCCAUUGCGACCAGUAAAGCAAGCAGAUAGUAAGAUGACAUGCGUGUGGAUUGAUUAAAACAAAUUCAGUUAGUUGAUUCUAAAUCGUAUGUAUCCUAAAAGGAAGAUAUGUGCGUGCAUGGUCCCUAGCGAUGACAUGUAGACAUGUAUUGCAAUUUCUUUUUUAAAAAACAUGUCUAUCUCUAAACCAACAAACAGAAAAAAUAUCAAUCUAAAUCUAAAUCUCUUCCGUUCUCACACGCCUAUUAAAGAGAAGACAACCAAUCCCAUCCAUGUUCCAUAGAAUCCAUCUAAAAGCUUGCUCACUGCGGACGGCAUUUGACGGCAAAUCAAUGAAAGAUCAUCCUCUCCAAAUAGCUGGACGGCAUCACCAUCUUUAUCUCACCAACCUACAGAGCUACAACGAUGUUGUAGAGAUCAACUAGGUAACCUACCAAUCACCCUCCCCUUUUCUAUAUGCUCUAAAGAACACGUGGAGUAAUUAUAGGCCUAUAGGAGCCGACUAACCUAGAUUAAUAUGAAAAAUAUUCCAAUAUUAAAAGCAAGCAGAUAGUAAUACUUGCCUUUGACCAUUUUUCUAGAACUGUUAUUCCUAUUGAAUGUUCAAGUGCUACGGCCAGGCAUCGAAUGCCUGCACGGAACCUUCCUAUUGAAUGGUUACUCUAGAGAUCAACGCACCGCGAGACAUUUUUAUGGAAUUUGUUUGAUUCCCCUUCUACAAUUAGAUUAAUUUUUCAUGGCAUAUAUUACUACUAUUAAAUUAUUUGUUUAUUGUCGGGCCUGCUGCAUGUGUGGUAUAUAUGACUUGCUUCUCACCAUUGUUCUCAAACUAUUAUUCCUAUCGAAUCUUUCUAUCGAAAUAUAUUUUAAUUACUUGAUUGUUGUUUGUGUACCAUAACUUCUGUAUAGAAAAAUUCCAUGUUUGUAGAUAAUGUCUUUUGUAUAGAAAAAUAGCCCAAUUAGAUCCAUCACCAUCUUUUGCUUAUGUAGUUGAACAAGUUGCAAUGUUGAACAAAACUUUAAGUGAAAUUAGACCAGGAAAAGGAAUUGUGGAACAUUAAGGCAAGGGUAACCAGAUUGUGGAAUGCAACCUUACUCAGUAGUGGCGAACAAUUAAGUCUUGACAUGAUCCUUAUUGAUCAAAAGGUAUGAUAGAUGUUCACUUUGAUUGCAUUAUUGGUAUAAUUUUUGGUUUACAAAUUAUUAAUGAUGAUGCAAAAUUAGGGAACCAUGAUCCACGGUGUUAUCAAUAAGCCCUAUAUGAAAAAGUUCAAACCAUUGAUUGAAGAAGGCAAUGUGUACAUAAUUGCAAAUGUCAGAAUCACACCAGAACCACAGAAGUAUCGGCCAGUGGAAAAUGACAGGAUAGUCAACUUCUUACCCACAACUGCACUAAAAACGAUCAAAGAUACUGAAGACAUUCCAAAGUAUAGUUUUAACUUCAUGAGCACGGAUAUGCUUUCAGCAAGAAUAAAUGUGGACAUGUACCUAUUAGGUAAAACAUUACUGGCUUUUCAAUUUUUACACUUCCACUCAUUAAAUGACCAUCUAAUAAUAAUACAUAUUUAUGUUUCAUAGAUGUUAUAGGUAUCUCAGCUCACAUUGGACCGAUAGAAGAAACAAGGACAAACUUCGGAUUUACUAAAAUCCGUGAUAUUGUGCUCCUGAUCGAGUAAUUCUCUUUUCUUUUGUAGAAAACAACUACAAAACUUUCAACAUUUACAUGUAUGUUAUAGAACUUCUGUUGAACUAAAAAAUAUCUUCUACAGUGCCCCUACAAAUAAUUAAUUUCGUAGUUGGAUAUUUAAAAUAUUUAUUAUUCACUUUUAAAUUUGUGGCCAUGAAGUUAAAGUUAGAUUUUGGGGAGACAAAGUUGAGGAAGUUGAUGAUAAGACAAAAUCCCAUGUCAUUGCAAUAACAUCUACAACUGUGAGUAAAUUUGGCAGUAAGUCUUCAUUCAAUAUGAGUUAUUCAAUAUUAGUCAUUCAACAAACUAACCUCGUAAGAAAAAUAAAUAAUUGAUGUUUUAUCAGGGUAUUCUCUAUCGUCAACCAAUGCAACAAAACUUUAUGUAGAUCUACCUAUUCCUGAAACUAAGGAUGCACAUGAUAGGUGAGAAAAAUUAGAUAUUGUUUUUCUAUUUUAAUCUAUGUAGCAUGCACUCUAACAUGAUACAUUCUUUCAUAUGAUAAAAAAAUGUUAGUUCAAUUGAAAAUAUUGUCAAAGAGAUUCAUAUUGAGGACCAUCUAAAAGGGACAUUGGAAGACCAAAUGCAGUACAAUAGAAGAACUUUAGAAGAAUUAAAUUUCAUAUUAUUUGAAACAUCAAAUCAGGUAUGGAUUAGUAUGUUCAUUGUACACUAUACUAUUUAAAGACUUACAUACAUAAUGAUGGUAUUGUUCCUACUUUCAGGAUGAGGUAUUUACUAUUGAAGCAACAAUAAAUGAAAUUAAUGCAACAUAUGGUUGGUUGUCACACCCGAUUUUAAGGACAAAAUUGAGUGCAUUAAAUACAUGUGCACCAGGAUCAAGUUACACACAUCCUAUGAGUACCGUCCUUCUUUGGCACAAAGAUAACCGGUGCUCCCCAUGGUGAUGAACUAGGCCGAAUAAACUAUUUUGCUGAUAAUUCCUCUAGUUGUUGUUUCAAUUCUUUUAAUUGUUCAACCAACAUUCUAUAAGGACGUUUGGAGAUAGGUGCAGUACCAGGUAAAAGAUCAAUAGCAAAUUCAAUGUCGCGGUCAGGUGGCAUACCUGGUAAAUCGUCGGGGAACACAUCCGGAUAGUCACACACCACUUUGAUAUCUUCCAAGGAUUUUCCAGCCAACUGAUUAACUGCACAAUCUGCUGCUGAGGGUAGAGUAGCUACAAACUCCACUUUCUCUCCAUCAGGACCUGUUAGCAGAACUGUCCUCUUGGCACACUGAAUCGUUGCAUCAAAAGCGGCUAACCACCUCAUCCCCAGAAUUACAUCGAUUCCACUGGACUCAAGGACGAUAAGAUCAGCCGGAAACUCUAUACCCAUUAUUCUCAGUUUAACUUGUGGACAGAUGUAUUGAGCCUUCAUUGACCCCCCAGGUGAACUCACUAGCAUAUGACGCCUCAUGGUAUGCAUGGGUAAAUUAUGCUUUGCUACAUAAUGACUAGUGACAAAAGAAUGCGAUGCUCCAGAGUCAAAUAAAACUGAUGCGGGGGCAGAGUUGACAAAGAACAUACCAAGCACUACAUCUGGAGCCUCCUUAGCAGUCUCGGCUUCCAUGUGGUUCACCUUGCCACAAACAAAGCUUUGCUGCCCCUGAUUGCCUUGUGGGGUCUGGUUCCCAUUCCUCGGUUGCUGCAUCUGAUUCUGCCGAGGAGCACUGCUGUUCUGCACGGGGGUAGCUGGCCCACCUCUCUUAGGACAAGAGCUGGCAUAGUGACCAACCUCGCCACACUUGAAGCAGGUAGGACCCACUGGAGCAUUGGGCCUUGUUGGAGUGCCAGUAGGGGUCAUCUGGCGGUUCUGCGUAAAGCUUGGGCGCGGAGUCUGCAUAGUCUGCAUCCCUGGAUGCUGGAACUGAGGGCUAGGGCGCUGGAAUGACUGCUGAGCAGGGCGCGGAAAUGAGUGCUGCCAAAAAUUCCCACUCGGGCCCCCUGCGCGGAACGGCGUCCCUUGCUGUGGAGCAAAGCGAGGGCGGGUGUUGCUUCCUGAAGACUACUGGGAAUUGAAUUUCCUCUUCAUCUCCCCGAGCUCGUUCCUCUUGUGUUCCAGGCCAAUUGCCUUGUCUAGCAUCUUCUGGAAACUGGGGAAGGUGUGCGACAUAAGCUGAUAUUGGAGUGGUCCAAUCAACCCAUCCAAGAAUAGCUCCUGCUUCUGCUCAUCAUCAGCAACAUCUUCGGGAGCAUAUCGGGACAACUGGACAAACUUGUCCCUGUACUCUGCCACUGUCAUGUUCCCCUGCUUGAGAGCAAGGAACUCCUUCUUCUUAAGCUUCAUCAAUCCGGAAGGAAUAUGAUGACUUCUGAAGCUAGUCCUGAAUUCAUCCCAGGUGAUGCCAUUAGCAUUGGCAUGGGUGGUGGUGUAAGCAUCCCACCAAUCAGCAGCUGGCCCUUCCAGGCGUCCUGAAGCAUACAGGACCUUCUCCCUGUCAGUACAUUGGGCGAUAUCCAGCAUCUUCUCCACUGUUUUCAGCCAAUCAUCAGCAUCUAAUGGAUCCGGAGAAUGUGAAAACGUCGGGGGCUUGUGGCUCAUGAACUCCCUAUGCCUGUCCCUUGGCGGCGGCUGCUGCUGGUUGUUGUUGUUGUUAUUGUUCAGCUGAGCUUGUAAAGCUGCCACGGUGUUGGUCAGUCCGGCGAGAAGCUGAGUCUGAGCUGCUAGAAACUGCUCCAUCCCUGCAGGUGCUUGUUGGUUCUGUUGCGGAGCGGUGUUGGGAUUGCUGCUGUUGUCCCUGUGGCGUGGCACUGUGGGACGGUCAACUCCUGAUCCGGACCUGGUGUUUACCAUCUGAGCGUUAGAGACAAUGGAUUUAGAUAGAUGUGUGAAAGAAUAACUGAGAAAGAUAAAGCGACCAGAUGUAAAAGUAACACAGAUUCUGUUAGCUCCAUUUAAUUAGGUGUGGUCGUCAGAAGAAGUGUCCAUAAAUUCUGAACAAUUACCAAGUCGUAACUUAUUAAAUUUGUAAACCAACCCAACUGGAAUCAUCUCAAUCGGACUUCUGGAUCUCGAGUUACAAAAUUAACAAGCUGACAGUGUCGGUCGAUAGGUUCAGAUUCUGAGUGCUUUACUAAUUCGCAUACACCUCCCAGACAGAUACACCAAAAAUUCUGAAAAAUUUACAGAUAGUACUCCACGAAAUUCUGAAACUAACCCCACUGGUUUCAUGUCAUUUGGACUUCUGUAGCUAGAGAUAUAAAUAAAAAAGUACUGGCGUGUCAGUUAAUGUCGAGAACAGAAUUGAAUGUCGCUUAGCUUGCGUGAUGGAUAGAUUUAGACAGAUGGUAGAUCAUGAUUAAGGAAGAUUAAAUACUGAUUUAGAACAGAAAUAAAACCCAACUAAGCACUUUAUUUAUUAAGACCAGUAUCGUGUGGCAAUUGCCCCACAUACCGCACUCAUUACAAAAUCCAACUCAAACAUGUAGCACAAAACCAAUCAUCUAAGCACACUUUAACUAACACACUCGAACGACGUCUAACGAUUACAAGAAUUUAAACUAAAACACUCCUAAUUUCCUAGAGGUCUUCUGCGGCGGUGCCGGGCGAGUCGUAGCGGGGACGCUUAGGCGACGGCGACGAAGCGGGAUGAACAGCAAACUCCUGCGGCGGCGGUGCUCCCGUCGCGGCAGCCAUAUUCGCAUCCCUCUCCCACCGGAGUUCCUGAACCUCCUGUUGAAGCUCCUGGAUGUGGUUGUUUGCUUCAUUCAAUGCGGUGAGAGCUGCCGACGUGUACUUGCGGAGGAAGUCUGUAGCCAUGUCAACCCCAUCGUUAGUAGCGAUGAAGGUUCUUGCUUCCCCACUAGCUCGGUAAGGAAGGAACCGAUGGUAAGUGUGCUGCAAUCGCGGCCGUUCCUUGUGGGAGACGACCUCAAGUGCCCUCCUGGCGGCCUCGGCAAUGCCGGAUUCCAUGGUCCUCCUUAUGGUCACAUCAUGGUGAAAAGCCUUCACCUCCCAUCCUCCCUCGUGCUCCUCACGAAGGACAACCUUCACCUCCCAAAAAGUGGGAUAGCGAGGGUGGGUGAACCGGGAGCACUUGUAGAGUGGCCUCAUGCCGUACCCCAAGCGGUGACAAGUCCACCUGAGUAUGUCGGCCAUGUGCACUCCUUGGCCAUAAUCUUCCUUCACCCAUUUGAUCCAUGUCUCGGGCUCGGGAUCUGCUUCGGGCUCAUCAUCCGUCAAGUCGACGACCGGUACGGGCGUCGGGGCUGGUGCAGGAGCGGGCGCCGGUGCUGGCGACGGUGCUGGUGACGGCGUGGUCUCCUGCUCCACGGUCACGGCGUCCCCGUCAGAGUCAUCCCCCGGAUGCUGGAAGAUCUCUUCCUCUUCUUCCUCGUCCCAAGGCUCCAUGGGGGCGUACGACGGCGCGAUGCCAUGACGCGGCGGACGGGUGCUCUUGCGUGCGGUCAACCGGGUGCGAGCCAUCUAACAGAAAGAAAGAAGAAAAUUUUAGAAUAAAAUUUUGAACAAAGCUAGAUAAUAAAAUAGCAAUAAGGAUGAGACAAAUCAAGUUUAAGAAUAAUUAAGUAGAUUUAAAUUAAGAAAGGUAGGAAUGGCUACUAGAUUAUUAUAAUCCUUAAAUACGACCAUUUUCUAACUAGGCUAACGUCCUACAGUCAACACGGCUCUGGUACCACUUUUGUCACACCCGAUUUUAAGGACAAAAUCGAGUGCAUUAAAUACAUGUGCGCCAGGAUCAAGUUACACACAUGUACGACAAUAGUGAAUAGUAAAGCCAGUGCUAAAUCGAAUAAAGAGAGUAUUAACCAUUAUUACAUGACCGAAUGUCUCAAAUAAACCACAAAGUCUAAUUAUUACGCAGCGGAACUCCAAAGAUGACGACGACUCCAUAGGCAGCUGACUGAAGAAACGUACGCCUAGAACUCCUCGAAGUCGUGGAAGUACUCCUCUUCCCAAUUAACUUGGUCUGAACAGCGGUUUUGCAAGGGUGAGUACACUUAUGGUUGGUACUCAACAAGUCGUGGGAAGUAGUGUAGUGUAAGGCUAAUUCAAGGUAUGGCUAAGGCGUAAAUAGCAUUCGCUUUUAAUUAAGUUGGUCAAAUUUUAUUAGCAUUUACUAAGUAUAAGUUCAUACCACCCGAAAUUAAACAUGAACAUAAAGUAAACCACAUGUGCAUGAAAUGAUAACAAAUUAAAUCCAUCUUCCGAUAAUAUUAUCAUGUGAGGGUCCAGGCCGCUCUUAACCGUGAGCACGGCUGAUUGAUCAGUUUAACACUCUGCAGAGGUGGCACAUCUUUACCCACAAGUCGCGUAAAAGUUCAAAAGAACUUUGGACCCAACCAUGCGGUGUUUGCAAGGCACCAUACCACACUUCCGAGGUGUGAUUGCAUAGGGACGCUACGAGGCCUUUACAAAGAUUCAUUAAUCAGUGGUAACCCGCUAAGGUUUCGGUGUCUGGCGUGCACCACCCAUCCCAGGUAAAAUGCAACGACUCAGUCCCCCCCCUUGAAUCAUCACGAGUAAGGUCACCCCAGACUAAGGUUUCUAAUUAAUCAGCCAAGACCAGAGCUAUUUAGUCUUGUGGUAGCACUGUUUUCCUGGGUGGUCGCUCCAUGUUCUGAUUAACAAAUAAUGAUCUUGUCUUAAUGAAAGGUAUAACAGAAAUAAGGCAAGAUUAAGCAUUGUUUUUAGUUAAACCACCAUGUACCAAGUAAGCACUAAGCAUGAGCUACCCAACAUAAAGUAAACCGGUUGGUCAAGGCAAAGGUAAAACAAUCUAGGCCAACCUUAAUUGGGACCCAUCAAUUUAAUCUUAAUAUGUGCACAGCAUAAAUGUUGAGUACGAGAAAGUAAAGGUGUAUAGGACAAAAAGGUAGUGAUCAAGGACACGACUUGCCUUCUUGGCCUUGCUCCUGCUGUUCGUACUCCUCGAAGGCUUGAUCGGCAACUCCCUCGAACUGCGGGGCGUCUACACGCAUCACACGAGCACAUACAAGCAAACAUGGGCAAAAGUAAGAAAACAGUAUACCAAACAUAGUCAAACAGAGAAAACAAGCUUGAAAAGAUGAUCUACGCUUUAAAACGAACACGCGGAUAUAAAGAACGCGAAAAACGGAGUUAAGAUGCAAAAGAUAUGAUUAAAACAAAAUCCAGGGACUUUUCUGUAAGAAAAACAAAACUUUUAGGGCCUAUCCGCGAAAACCGAGGGCUUAUACGUAAUUAUGCGUAUAAACCGAGGGUCUGAUGCGUAAAAACAUCAAACCCGGACGGCGGGUUGAUUUCUGGAAAGGUCAAGGGUUAAACCGAAAAAUGCGAGGGCAGAUCUGUAAAUACUUUCAACGCGAUCUGGACCGCGGGUUGAUUUGCGAAAAAGGCGGGGGCUAAAGUGCAAAAACUGCACGGCGCGGCUCGGUUGACCGGUACGCGAUCUUGAUUGACUCGCGUCCGGCCGUCGGAUUAAGAUCCGACGGUCGCGGUGAUCCGCGACAUCGCGGCGGCGGCGGCGAGCGGCGGCGAGCGGCGGCAAGCGGCGGCGGGUCGCCGGAGUUAGGCAAAAUAGCGCCACGAGGCACGGUUUAACGCGCGGGUUGCACCAAAAAAGAGAGGGGAACACGUCGAUCCCGUUUUGGGGGUUCUUGUCGACGGGGGCUCACCGGCGACGGCGAACGGCGGCGAGGAAGAGGCGGCGGCGCUAGGAGCUCGGGCGGCUAGGGUUUCGGGGAGCUGCGGCGCUGGUUUUGGGCGGAGGAGACUGGGAGGAGGCGGCGGCUUUUAUAGGGCUUGGAGAUAGAGCCGGCGCGGGUUCAAAUCCCCCGGAGGAGUCGGAGCGGAUGGAGUCCGGGGCGGAGACGGCGCGCGGCGGUUGCGGAGUUCUGACCGGAUUCGGCCGGAGGUGGGAGACGAUGGGUGGGGUCCACCCGUCAGUGGCGGAGGGGAGCGGUAGACGGGCCGGCGCGACCGUGGGCUGGCGCGCGCUCGUGGGCUGCGGGGAGCGGGAGAGAAGCGGCGAGCGGGCGCUGGCGGAGCAGGCCGAGCGGAGGUAGAGCUGGGCCGCGGAGAAAAAGGAGGAGGCCGGCGGGCUGCUUCGCAGGCCGGUAAGGAUGAGGCGGCCGGGCCGAAGAAGAAAAAGAAAAGGAGGGACAAGGAGCUUUCGGCCGAGGGAAAAGAAGAAGAAAAAGAAAAGGAAGAAGAAAAGGGAAAAGGUUUUGGAAUUUGAAUUUAAAUCUGAAAUUCAAAAUUUGAUUCAAACUCAAGCAACCAAAAAUUAUGCUCCAGCAUGAAUGCACAAAUAAUUCCUAUGAUGAAUUAAUUGAAUUAAAGAAAAUGAAUUUAAAUGCCUAGAAAUUAAAUAACACCCUAAUUUGAGCAAAUUUUAAUGAAUUUGAAUUAUUGAAAUUUUGGGUGUUACAUUGGUACUACAUCUCAUGUAGUAGAGGCGAUUGUAAGAAGCAACUUGAAAAGAAGUUUGAUCACUACUAUUGCAAUAAAUGUGACAAGAGAGCCGAACCUAAAGCCCAGUAAAUUAUUUAGUAGUUUACAAUCUUAUUAUAAUACUUCUAUUUCUAAUAGGAGAAUAAUAUUUUCAGAUUCAAAUUAAGCUUCAAAUAAGUGAUCCAACAACAAGUGCAACUUGUGUACUUUUGACAAGGAAGCAGAAAUGAUAAUUAAUGAAUGAGCAGAUUCGAUGAUCACCUCAGUUGAUCAUGAUAAUAAGUAGCUACCAAAAUCAAUUCAGGAAAUAUGUGAAGAAACAUUGAUUUCUCAAUUCAGAUUGACCGAGUACAACUUGACAAGUUUUAGACCUGAUUAUACUGUUUCAAAGAUAUUUUUUCCAAAAGAAAAGGGCAGUUCAAGAAUUGGUAUGGAAAGUGUAAAAAAGGUAACACUUUAUUAUUAAUUUUUUAUUGCACUUUUUUCUUUUGAAUCCGUAAUACUUAAUAAUUUUACUAUAUCAAUGAAACAAAUUCUAACCUAAAUUUAUUUUCUUUUUUAUUAUUUGUAGGAAGUAGAAGACAACUCAGACAAAUGCUACACGAUAACUACCGAGAAUGAAGAGGUAGACACUGAUGACUCUUUUACCGAGAAAGUAACAUUCGUAGAAGAAGCCAUAAGGACUGGGGAAAGAUUGGCUAGAAAAGUAUACUCACUUCCAUGUCAGUGUUCAUUCUAUUUACAAUACAUGCAAAAAAAAUAUUAUUCAUGCAAAAUUGCAGGUCUACUAAGCAUUAAAGGAAUAGCGGAUAGUGCAAUAUGUAAUCUGAGCAGCAUGCAUUACAAAGUGCUCUACUGCAAUUAAAUUAAAAAACAUGAUAUAUGUUGAAUUCUUAGACUUUAUUAUUAUACUUUUCUACGUGACAAUUCACAAUUUUUUAGAAAAAAGAAGAUCCCAGAAGAAGUGACCAUGAAAAAAGGUCUAUGACCAGCAAUAAGAAAAAAUGCAAGCAUAGAAACAAAUCCGUAGAAAACAUAGAAAAUAAGGUACUCCAUAAACAAAAGUAUUCUCUUAUAUUUUUAUUAAAUAUUUUUUUAACACUUGACAAGUUCUUUUUUAGGAUCAAUAUAUCAGCAAUUCAGAUGUCAUUGGAGAUGAAACCUUAGUUCAUCCAAAAGGUCAAAAAAAAACAUCUGAAGAAAGGUGUUUGGCUGAAAAGGAAAAGCAAAAAAGUGGUAAUGCAGACAAACACAUGCAGAAAAAUAUAAAAACAUGUCAUAGGGAGGCAGACCAAUCUUGCAAGGAGGUAUAGACGAAACGUGAUACACGACCUGCCUACCUUGUCGUGGAUACCCCAAGAAGAUGUCAUAGAGGUGCAGACCAAGCUAGCAAGGAGGUCGAAACGUGAUACACGGCCUGCCUACCUUGCCGUGGAUAUUAGCCCUGAGAUCAUUCUACUGUUCAAGGAAUAACACUCAAUGCUGCUGCUGCUGCUGACCUGGCUCCAUAAAGUUAUACUCCUCUAGGUGCUUGCACUAACUUUAUCUGAAGUAUUAUUCUCUCUGCACUGUAUAUAUGGUUAUGGAGUUUGCUGGAGUAUCCGGGGCGAAGAACCUACAUAAUACGUCUUGGAACUAAUUGACAUUGAUUCACAGACAAACUCUACAAGGUGCUGUUCUUGCCAUUUUAGAGCAUCCAAAGGACUAUAAAUAACAUAGUUUACCAUAUACCAUAUACCAUAUACCAUAAUAUGUUAGCUAAAAUAAGAGCAUACACAUGUUGCAGGAGUCCAAAAGCACCGGUUGAGGACCAGGUACAUUGAAUUACUAGAAAAAGACAGGGGACAAGGUUUAGGUAACCACAUGAAACAUUUGAAUUUAUUGUACUAUGAACACUUAGUUACCAUGCCAGGAGCACAUAGUUAACACUAACAUUUAGCCACUUUAGAUCAUCCCGAAUCACCAAUGACCCUCAAUAGUGACAAAUUUUGGUUUAAAUGCCAUCACCAAUGAUCCUCAAUAGUGACGUAUUUAGGUUUAAAUCCCGUCACUAAUAACCCUCAAUAGUGACCUGUUUUGGUUUAAAUCUCAUUACCACUGAUCCUCAAUAGUGAUGUGUUUUAGCAAAACAUGUUAUCAAUGACUUGUCAUUGGUGACGUGUUAAAACGCGUUAUCUCAAUGGCAAAUCAUUGGUGACGUGUUAUCUCAAUGUUAUCAAUGUUCUAUUCUUUUCAACAAUACCAGCUCGUUCCUCCGUUUUUAUUCCACCAAUACAAGCACCACCUUGUAACAUUUCCUAUGUUUUUUUUCCUUUUGUCUGUUUUCUCACUACAUGCGUUGCUCUUUCAUGCAUUUUUUUCCAUUCCUGUAUUCCAAAUAGGUCUACAUGAACACAAAAUGAACUAGGGGACAGAAAAAGCCAGUGAAGCCAAUUUUGAGCUUCACCAGCUACUUGCUACAUAAAGUGUGCUAUAGUGACGUGUUUUAGCAAAACAUGUUAUCAAUGACUUGUCAUUGGUGACGUGUUAAAACGCGUUAUCUCACUGGCAAAUCAUUGGUGACGUGUUUUAAAAAAACAUGUCACCGUGAGAGUCAUUGGUGAAGGGUAAUUAAAAUGCGUCACUAAUGUUGUAGCAUUAGUUAUGAUAAUUUAGUAACGCAAAAAUCUACCAUCAGUAUUGAGCUUUAGAGCCAUCGCUAAUGUGGGUUUCUUACAUAGUGAUGCAAGCUCUACAAGGUGCUGUUGCUGCCAUUUUAAAGCAUCCCAUGACUACAUGUUAAUAACAUAGUUUACCAUAUAUCAUAAAAAUAUUAGUUACAAUAAGCACAUACGCAUGUGGAAGAGUCCGAAUGCACCGGUUGAGGACUAAACACAUUGAAUUACUAGAACCAAAUGUAUGUUUAGAACAAAGACAGGGGUCAAGGUUUGGGUAACCGCAUUAAAAACAUUGGAUUUUACUGUACAUGAACACUUAGUUACCAUUACCAUGCCUUGAGCACCUAGUUACAACAAACAUUAAUUUAGCCACUUUAGAGCUUCCAGAAUCGCUAUAAAUAAUAUACCUACGCCGUACCAUGAAAACAUCAAGAAGAGAGACGGAUACAUGGACCACCAUCAAGCGAGUAGUGACAGCACGCACAAGAAUACCCGGAACCUGUUAGCUUGUCUGUAGUGAUCUGUUUUCUUCCCCAUAAAAUCCAUGAGUAUUGCCACAAAUAAUGAAAGAGGCUGACCAAGCUAGCAAGGAGGUAGAGCAAACGUGAUACACGGCCUGCCAAGAUUGCCCUGGAUACGCCAAUAAGAGCGACAGAUACAUGGAUCACACCAAUAUGGUGAAACGUAUAUUCAUCACACAAGCAAAGCUGGUCAGUUUAUCCAUGGUCAAAUUGUGGUCUUUGUUUUCACUUGAGAGCUAAUUGAGGCACUAUAAUAUGGGCAGGCCUAUCUUCAACAGACAUGACAGCUACAGGGAACUUGACAUAAUUUGCUGGGCCGCCUGUGCACAAUUAUUUGUUUUAUUGUCCUUGCAUAGAAUGCUAAAAUACUCUUUACAAAAUGUUGGAUCUAAUAUUUGAAAUAUAGAGUAGUAAUCAUAUAUUGAUCAACAACUUGAAAUUAUCUGUACAUUCUCGGUGAAGCUGUUGAACUAAUUUUUGCAAAUUAUUAAUUCAUCUCAUUACGUAAAGAAAAAAGUAAGUGGAUAAGAUAUUUCGUGGACCACAUCACUGCAAACAUGUCAUGGAGAGACAGACCAAGGAGGCAGGACGUGAUACACGACUUACCCUAGGUUGCCGUGGAACCGCCAAGAAGAGAUACAGAUACAUGGACCACACCAUCUUGGGAGUAGUGACAGCAUAUAUGCAGAAGAAUACCCCGUGCCUAUUUGCAUGCAUGUCUCAAGUGAUCUGUUUUCUUCAGAAAAUACAUGAGCAUUGCCAGAAAGAAUGGCAAGAGACAAACAUGUCAUAGAGACUUGCAUGUCUUGCCUUGGAUACGCCAAGAAGAGGGACACAUACAUGGAUAACACAAAUCUAGUGACACGUAUAUUCAUCACAAAGGCAAAUCUGAUAAUUUUAUCCAUGGAGCAGACCAAGGAGAAAUUGAUGACGGACAUGUGAUCUCUGUAUUCAGUUGAAAGCUAAUUGAGCUACACUAAUAUGAGCAGGACUAUAUUCAAGAGACUUGUUGAGAGCUACAGGGAACUUGUAAUAAUUUGCUGGGCGGCCUGCGCACAAUGAUUUGUUAUACAUAGUUGAAAUAUUUCAAGAAUUUAUCAACCUCAUACUCUGAAACCCUUGGUGCAAUGUACUCUGCUUUCCGAGGUAGACUGUUCACGUAAAAUGAGGUCAUGCGUAAGACGGAAUCGGAUUGGAUUCACAGGGAAUCAGAUUUGGAUAGCACCUUUUAGCAGGUUUUUAGUCAAAUGCAAAUUCGGAUCCACAUGUGGUUGAAUGCGAGUUCAAAAUUCUACUUGGAUAUCCAUUUAAUUUAGGUGAUAGCAAUUAGCACAAAAUGUUGGAUGAACAAAAUCAUAGUUAGACAUACAAUUACAUGUAUGGUUAAAGUAUAAUACAAUACACCAAGAUUAUUCCUUGAAAAUAUUUCUUAAAAAUAUUAUAAUAAAUGAAUAAAUAUAAUUGUGGCCACCAACAAAUAGUCGGUGGUCGCUAAGUUGGAGCCAUUUCUGGUUACUAAUGCGGCCUUCUCCUCGACCAGCGACGACAGCUGAGCUUGUUCCUUCUGACACUAAAUCAUCAGAGUCUUCCCUCCACUACUAUAGAAUGCACCUUUAGCACCAAUUGGGAAAUCCCCUUCAGUAUUGGAUGCUGCAACCAGUGCUAUAUAUCAAAAUGGAGACUAAAAGCCUCGGUCUUGGGUACCGGUUGCAUAACGCAUUACUAAAGGAGGCAAAAGAGAAAUGUAACAAAAAAAAUAUUUUGAAUUCCAAGAAUGUUUCACUAUUCAAGAUGACUAGCUGAGAGUCAACAGACAAGAUACUAGGAAUGUGGGUGCUUGAAUGCAUUUGUACAGAGGUCAUACUAUUUACAAACUCUUCUAUGUUUCCAUAUGACUACCUACUUCAAUGUCACGCGAGCCAUUCAGCUGGACACAUGGCACACUAGCUUGCAUGUCGAAUCCAUGAUUAAUUAUUUGCACUUGUGAUCUCUUACCAGUAUUUGUCCAGACUAGAAACGUGCAACACAUUUUUAGGAUAUGGACACGCAUAUAUUUGGACUAGUAUACAGGUCACCUUUGGAUGCGUACAAGGAUGACCGGGAGGGACUAAUGGAUACAAGGAAGGGACCAUCAGGAUUAAUAUUGACAUAUGCCACAUGACAAUCUUCAUUGUCAUGCAAUCCCUAUCAACAAUCAUGGAAUCCCUAGUGUACUAAUCCCUGGAGGGUUGUGUGGAAAUUUAUUUUACCUUGCGGUGAAAAUCUCAUGAGCAGUCAUUAGUUAAGCUGACUAGCUGAGAUAUAAUAGACAAGCUAGUAAGAUUGGGAGCAUCAAUGCAUCCAUACAGGGUCACAAUAUCCUUUCCAUUCACUUUUAUAUAUAACCCUACGAAUACAAGUCCAACGAAAUGCGGGCCUUUCGAUCAAGAUAAAUUAAAUGGCCCACUUGUAUUUCUAAUCCAGGAUUAACUAUGCCCUCUGUUCAUCUCUUGCAAGCACGUGCAACACAUUUUCACGAUAUGGACAUGCAUGGAGGUUAUUAUACUGUUUGGACAAACUCUGAUGUGCCAUGACCUAAAUGCUUAGGGCCUGUUUGGUUUGAGUUGCUUAUUAUAAGCAACUUAAAGUUGCUUAAAGUUGCUUAUUUGAAGUUGCUUAUUUUUAGUCUAAACUGUUUGGAUACCCUUGCUUAUGAGCAUUGAAUGAGUUGGACAUUGUCAAAUUUGCCCCAUGUGUUGCUACCCCUCCAAUUUGCCUCCCCACCCUUCUUCUUCCUGCACACGUCCGAUCCCGGGGGCCGACGGCGGGCAGGGAGCAGCAGCAGCUGGCCAGGGCGGCGGUGGGGCGGGAGCGGCGGCGCACACCAGCACGCGCUCGCACGCCAGGUGCUAGGGCGCGGCGAGGCAGUCGUCGUAGCCCACCGGGAGCGGGUGCUCGGGCGCGAGGCGGUACUCGACGGAGAUGCCGAGCGUCGGGCGCGCGGCGGCGAGCGCGUUGAGGAAGCGAUGGUAGUGCGGCGACGUCGCGGACUCCGCCACGAAGCCGCCGCCGUGGACGUACACCACCACGGGCAGCUUCGUCUUGCCGUCGGCGGCCGCGGCCGCGGCCUGGGGUGGCAGGUAGAGGCGGACGGAGCAGGAGCCGAGGUCGACGUCCCUGGAGUCGACGCCCGUGGCGGCGUCCAGGCUGGGCCCGACCGGCGGCGGCACGAGCGGGCGCUCGAUGCGGCCGCUCUUGUAAAUCCGACGGGUCUGUGCGGAGGCGGGCGGCGGGCGGGAGCGGCGGGUGGGAGCGGCGGCAGGUGGUGCGGAGGCCGGCGGCGGCGGGUGGCGCGGAGGAAGGGGAGCUGGUGAGUGGUGACAGGGGAGGGGGGGAGAGAGAGGGGGGGUAGGGUGCAUUGAAUGAGGGCAGGAGGUGUAAAGUGCACCUUUUAGUCCCCAUGAGCAACCAUAAGCAGCCCAAGAGUUGCUUAUUUGCUUAUAAUAAGCAACCUCAUAAGCAAGAGUGAUUGGUUUCAUAAGCAACUUAUUUGCUUAUUUUAAGUUGCUUAUGCAUAAGCAUGUGAAACCAAGCAGGUCCUUAACCUAUGGUUGUGGCACCACACAGUACAUAGUAUUUAAUAAUGCUAUUCGUUUGGUAUGUGCACAAGGGCACGCAUGAAAUGUCUGGCCCACGGUAAACAAGUACGGACGCUGCAAAUAAUCUACUCUGCUCGUCCAGUCCCUAGCCUAUAAAUAGAUGCCAUGCUAGCUCUUGUUGUGCUCACAAUUAAUCCUGACUACACACGAGCUUCUCUCCCUGGCCAAGACACAAUCAUAGUAUGAUGAAGAACAUGGCACUAGCCGGCAAUGGUAUGAAGAACUUAAUCCUCGCUGUUCUCUUACUGUGUCUAGUUAUAGGGCAGAUACAAGUGGAAGCUAAGAGCUGCUGCCCAUCCAUUACUGCAAGAAAUAUCUACAAUGCCUGCCGUAUCACGGGUACAUCCCGUCCAACGUGUGCAAAACUGUCAGGCUGCAAAAUUAUCAGCGGGGACAAAUGCAAGCCCCCUAACGACCACCUCACCCUUGACCCGGACACUGGUAAAUAAUAAAUUUAUCUCACUUGAUUUCUUCGUGUUUUGAGUCGUUAAUGUAUUUUCCAUCUGAUGAAACGUAUUGGUUUUGCAUUGAAGAGGAAGUUAAUGUGCUUAACUUCUGCAAGUUGGGGUGUGCGUCGUCUGUGUGCAACAACAUCAACGCUGGUAAGCACCUUUUGCUCAGACGGAGAAAACAAUAAUCAUUAAUUAGCGGCAGCUAGAAUCCUAUAAUCUAAUAUAUUUAUAUAUAUAUAUAAUUUUAUCAGCUCUGGGAAAUGAAGAGGCGAACGAUGCCGUUGAGAGUUGCGACCAAGCCUGCUCUAGCUUCUGCAACGUGCACGUUGGCGCUGCCACCGUGGUUGCUUAAGCAAAUGCAUCCAACUGGAUCGUCCUUGUGCUAAAUAAUUGGAUAUCGUAUCCACUUAAAGCUGCCUUGUGUAGUACGUUUUUGUUUGUGUCUCUCUUUAUAUUCCAAUAAGGUCGGUGAUCUUGAUGCCACACACUCAGACGUGUGUUCAUCUCCAGAUACUACUCCAUGCUACCUGCCCUUUGUGUUUUGUUCAAUAACUGGGUAUCAUAUCCCAGCCAGUGUGCCAUCUGUUUUGUGUUUAUUUCCUUCUAGUUUCAAAGGGGUUAUCAUGAUGUUACCUUCUUUCGAUAUGGUGCUUUGCAUGACUACUGUUGUAUGGUACCAUCUUGUUGGCCAAUAAAUACAUCUUAUCCUAUGACCCUUUGCUAUGACCCUUUGCAAAUAAGUACAAGAUUGUUAAAUACUCGGUAUAAAUUGACUACUGCUGUGAGUUCCCUUUCAGCUUAUCGUAGGCAUACAUUAUUGCUAGCACGGUGAAGACAACCAACACGAAUGGUCAAGUAAACGUACCGGUACUUUUGUAUACCAACACCCUUGCUUAAAUGUACCGGUGUUACUCCCCACUAGCACAUAUAUUCUUAUAUGCUAGCCGGCUUGAAAAUUAACCGAUUAAAAUAAUUAUUUCAAGACAGAAAUAACUUAUCGGCUUCUCGAAGCAUGUGUAAUGUGAAUUCAAGGACUUGAUGGAAGUUGAAUCGCUUAAUCUAGAUUGCUUUCAGGAUUUUGGGUAACUAAAUUUAACAUUUGCACAUACAAAUGUUAAUGUACAAAUAUUAAAUAUAGUUACCCAAGCAGAAUAUGAAGAUACUCUAUAGUAUAUAUAUACUAUAUAAAUCUAGUUAACAUUUAGUCUAAAUGUUAAAUCUAGUUACCUAAAAUCCUGAAAGCAAAAUGUAUAAAUAUAUAUCUUUUAAGGAAUCCCAAAGCAAGAGUUCAGUGGCAUUCUAUAGUCCCAUGCUGCUAGUUUGAGUUGGUCGAAGCCAACUUAAAUAGGAGAGCUCUCUCACUUCUCUAAAUACGUAACUGAAGGAGAGAAGGGGGCUUGGUUACACAACGCACGCACGCACGCAUAUUUGCGUUCUUUUCGCGUAACCAACCGCGUGACUUGAAACUUGCGACGUAGCGUGCUGCCAAGUCAAGUUGAUAUAACCUUUUUGCCGUAGGCGUGUAAUCUUUUGACAACGGUCAUUGGAGGUGAUAAGCACGCAGUCAAUACCUUAAUCCUGAG